AUGUCCAAGUGAUGAAUUUCCAACCGUAUUUGAGAAAGAAUGGAGAGUUCACUUAUUGCACCCUGAAAAAGACAAAAUCAAAACAAAUAAAUUUCUUAAAAAUAAAAGGUUGCAAUCAACAAAAUCAUGCAAUUCAAGGAAAAAGGAAAAAUGAUCAAGCAUGUGGAACCAUACAAUGUUCAAGGGAUAAAAACAUGAAAUGAGCUAAUCUUUGCUAAUCAAAUAUAUGCAUUAGUAUCCAAAGCAAAGGGAAGCUAAUUUCACACAAAAAAUCCACAAUCAUGAACAAAAUAAGUUCCAUUUAUACAUUUUGUCAUCAAUGAUCAAAUCCCCGCAAGUACAAAAGUAAUCUCAAAAUGGAGACAAACACACCAAACCAAAAUAUAAUGACCUUCUGAGAAUUCAUGAAAUACUAAAAACCAUUGAACCACAAGGAUUAUAAGUGCAUUUAUGAAUUUCAUCAAUUAAGGUCAUUUUCUUACUCACAUGAAUAUCAUAAACUCCCACAAAGCUAAUUAAAAUGCUACAUUGGCCACUUAAUAUGCAACUUGGUCAUCAAGCCAAAUUAAGCAUAAAACUAGCAAGAAUUCACCAAAUAAGUACAAUAAAUGCAAAUCACAAAAUAUAGUUAUCACUAACAAUCACCAAUAGCAUCAAUAAGAUCAAAUAAAUGCACCUAACUUCACAUAUUAAAAAUUGCCUAAAAAUAGAAAAUAUUCAUUCAUGGCAAAAUUCAAAUAACAAAGUUAGGUGAAGAAUUGUUACCUCAAGGUAGUUUGGUGAUGUUUAGAGAUGAAUAUGAUGUGAAAACCCCCAAGAACUUACUCCAAUAUGACCUCCAUUGAGUGAUUUCAAGAAGGUAGAACCCUAACUAAUGGUAAACUUGAACCACUUUAGAGUUGUUUUUGAAAGAAUAUGAACUAUGAAAUUCACUCUAGAGGAUAGGAGAAAGUGAUUUGGUGAAGGUUAUUUGAAGACUAAAUGGUGAGAAGUGGUGUUUUAGUGAGUGGUGUGUGUUUGAGGUGUUAGUGUGUGAGUUGGGUUGAAGAAGAAGGGAGAAAAAUUGUGAGAAAUCCGUGAAACGGAUUCAUCUUACGCUGGUUACUGUUCACAAUCCGGCCAGAAAUUGGAGGGAUUCAUGGAGGGAUUCUGGCAGAAUUUUUUUUUUUUUUUUUUUUAACUGUUGCAUAUCCGGCCAGUUUCUGGCCGGAUUCUUGGCCGGAUUUCAGGCCGGAUUUUCGGCCGGAUUCUGUCCAGAAUGCUCGAAAAAUUUUCUUCUCUCCCUGACUAUCCGGCCUUCAAUCCGGCCAACAUUUGGCCGGAUUUAUGGCCGGAUUUGCUGCAGAAAAAGCUGUUUUCUGCAGUUUUUCCUCCAAAUUUGCUUGGCCAACCUUCCACAUUCAACCUAUUUCAUGUUCUUUGAAUAAAAUUCAAAUUUAACAUGAUCAUGCAUGAAUAUAAGUUAAACAUGAAACACCUUAAAUGCAUGAAAUGCAGCAAUUGAACAUGAAAACUCCCUUUUUGCCUUAAUAUAAACACCUUUGCAAUUGAGAUCAUUUGCAUGAACUCUUGCCAUUGCCACCUACAAAACACACAAAAACAUUAAUCGAACAAUUAAAACUUACUAAAAACAAGCCAACAUGAAGAAAAGUGGAGUUGAAAAGUGAUCCAAGCCUUCGUUUUAACAGGAUCCGAGGUCGUUUUUGAAAGGAUCCGAGGUCGGAUCAUUGUGAGUGAGCUCGGAUCAAGAAGUUCGAAAUUUUUUUUUUUUUUUUCUGAUUGCAGAAGUAGAUCCGAGGCCUCGGAUCCAUAUGGAUCCGAGCUCGGAUCCAUUGAACCUGAACUUAUUGCAGAAUUUUUGCAAUUUUUCAGUUUGACCCCAAUUUUUCAAAAUACACCCUAGAUCAUUUCUAUAUCAAAAUAAACCAUUCACGCACAUGUAAAAUGAUCUAAACAUGCAUUCUAAACCUCUUUAAUGCAUCAAAAACCAUAAUUACUGAAAUUGAGGUAUUGAGAUCUUUGAUCAAACUUCGCCCUUUUCUCCUCAUUUGGUCACUUUUCAAAACCUACAAAUGAAAAACAACAAAAUUACUCAAACUUAUACUUUAAACAUAAAAUCACUCCAAAGUAACACCAACUUAAACAAGCAUUGGGUUGCCUCCCAAUAAGCGCUUCUUUAAAGUCAAUAGCUUGACUAUAUCACCUCAUUUUUCAAGGAGGUUUAGUUAACGAAUAAUCCACCAUUUUAGGCCUUGGUGGAUCAUUAAAAGGUGACUUUAUAGCAAAAGCCACAUGAUCUAAUGAUGUGAGAAAUGAAAGUGACUUACCUAUACCAAGUGUUUCACUUAAUUUCCAAUCUUUUAGAUACAUACACUACAAGAAAAUUGGUCUUUUGUGACAACAAAAAGCCGUCAUUGAAAGCCAAAAAGUCGUCAUUAUAUGGAUAAAGUGACAAAUUUUUCCGUUGUCACGUGGUUGUCACAGAUUCUAUGUCACAAAUGAAUCCAUGUGACAACCUUUUAAAAGCUGUCACAGAAUCUUGUUAUUCAAUGACGAGAAGAAAGUCAUCACUAAUGGAUAUCAUUCUGUGAUGACUUUUCUUGUCACCAUUUCACUUAUAUUUUUGUCAUAGAUGUAGCAAAAGUCAUCACAAAUUUGAAGUCUACAGUGACGACUUGAAUUUGUCACUAUCAAUCCUAUUAUUCAGUAACAAGAAUAGUUGUCACUUAGUGAACUUGCAUGUAGUGACAACCUUCGAAAGUUGUCACUGAACUUUGUUUUGAAGAGUUAAAAUUAAUCAUUACGAAUAUAGCAUUUCCAAUAAAUUAUAGUAGAACAUUCAAAUUGACAAAAACCAAAAUUAAUUUAGAAUGAAGCCACAAAUUCAUAUAUAUGGCCAUAAACAUCUGUAAAUUCAUCAAAAUAGAAGUCAACCAAAAAUAUUGGAUCCCAAAACUCACAUAAUCAGUUCAAGCACUAAUGGCCAAUACAUAUCCUUUCCAAAAAAUAGAGUACUAGAUUUCUAAACUAAAACAUAGAUUGCACCACCAAUGUCAGACUUCAACCACUCUAUCAUCAUAUCCAACAGACUCCUCGUGAUCAAUAUCAAGGUGGACUGCAUUGAAAAUAAAGUAUUAUAUGCAUUAGAAUAGACUUUAGUCAGAAAAUAUGAUAUUACAACCUUACACUACUAAAUUUAAAUGAAUAGUCAUACAAAACAAGACUCCAAUUACUGUCAACAUGAUAAGAAGUAAAAGAAUCAGUCAAAAUAGAGUUUUAGCCAAAAUAAAGAGAACAUUAUUAAUUAUUUCCAAACAACUUAUUUGUUAGACAUAUUUGCUUAGCCAACAUAUUCGGAAUAUAAGCAAGUGAUAGCAUAAAUUUGUUCAUGCUUUGUUUGGUAACAACUUGGUAGAAGCGCAUUUCUUCAGUUAAAUUUUUAAUAAAAUCAAGCUUCAUCUAUGAUGAUACUAGUUGCUGAAUUAAUCUUUGUCCAGAACUCGGUGAAAGUUAAUUCCUUGAAGGUUGACUAGAUGAUCCAAUAUUUUCACAGUGAUCCAUUUCAUGAGUUAGAAGUCAAAGAGCAAGCUUCUAUUAGAUAUGUGUGAAGAAGCAAUUUCUAAUAUUGUUCUAUAUAUUAAGAAACUUUACUGAGGUAAAUAAUUGAAUUAGGUAGUUGGGAAACUGUUCAGUAGAUAGUUUGAUGAUAUUAAGUGCCAAAGUCAAUAUCUGCAAAUGCGAUCAUAACUAUGGGAAAAUCAUUUGUAAAAACUGUGAAUGUCAUUUAGUUUUUAUUAUGAAUACUUGCCUCUAUUAGCAAUUAGGGAAAAAAUAGCUAAUAUUGAGAAUACAUAUAUGAAUGACUGUUUCGUUUGUUCAAAUUCAAUAUAUGUACUAAUGGGCAGGGGUAGUAAUACGAUUAUUAGUAUAAAGUGUGCAUAGUUGCGGUAAAAGAAGUUAAAAAAUAAAUGCAUGAGCAAGGGAACAAACUAAACAGAAUCUAUAGCCAAAUAUACAUGGAAAAAAUUGGCAAACUAAAAAUAAAGCCAUAACAUGAAUAAUCAAUUUCAUAAGCUAAAUUCGCUAGCUAACAACACAAUGCAUUUUUAGAAACACAGAACCAGCCACUGCAUAUUUGUAAAAAGAAGAUGCCCAAUGCAGAAAUAACAACAUGGUAUAGCAAAAAUAUAAAUUCGAAGCCUAAAUAAAUAACUAAUCUUAUAGAACUAUAAGUAAGAGAAGUACCUGAAACUCAAGCCUCAACAAACCAAGAGCAAUGACACUGAAAAAAAAAAAAAAGCAAGACAGACAAUGAAAGUAACUAAAAAGUGCAAUUGGGGUAAACAGAUUCAUUAUCGAAUAGCAGAGAAAAUAAGGAGGCAUGUUAACCAUUCAACAAAUCCAAAGUAUUCAAAUAUAAAGUAUAUACCUGCAGACAAUAAAAGGAGUAAAAUGCAAGACAUGUAAACCAGAAGAGAACCACAAGGAAUAUCCCACAAUACUUUGGUAGCUGCUACAACAAGAAAAAGAGCAAGAGAUUAAAUACUUGCCUGAAGAAAAAUAGCAGUUGAUAGUGCGUUGAACAGAUUGUAAGAAACCAAUGCAGCAAAACACGAACAACAGAGAAGCUAAACACACAGCUGAACAAUAAAGCUUUAUAUAUAUACAUAUAUACAUAUAUAUAUAUAUAUAUAAAGCCAAGAAUCAGAUGAAUGUCCUAGAGUACUUUCAGAGGCAUUACAACAAGCUACAUGAGGGAAAAUAAAAACCCAAAAAAAAGGACAGAGAAUGAAUACCUGCAUAUAGCAAUAACAGGUGUAGACAGUGCGAUGAACAAAAAUCAAGAAACCAGCAAACAAAAAGAAGCUAAACUAUAAACACCCAAAAAAGAGGCCAUAACAGAAGAGAAUACAAAGUAGCUUUUUUUCAUGAAAAGCUGGAAAGAGAAUGUUUGAAUAUUGGAAUUCACUGAAACAAUUAAGAUGUCCAAAUUGUGCAGUUGCAGAGUAAAUCUUUCUUGCUAAUACAAAUGAGAGGAGAUGGAAUUAAAUGGUACAAAAGCCACACAAUACAAUUGAAGGGAGAAAGUAUCAAGUACAGUUUUCAAAAAGGAGGUGUAUUUUCAAAUAGUUGACUUUUGGUUUAAAUUCCUUAUUUCGCUCCAACCCAUACAAACUAACCUCAGCUAGUACCAAGUAACAUUCCAAACUCCCCAAGUUUAAGCACAAGUUUGGAUCUUUUGGCAAGAAAAUAAGACUCCAAGAUUACCAAAGUCAUCAAUCUGUUUAUCAAUUUGCUAUAUAAAAUAUUCGUUCAUCCCUAAGCAAUUUAUCUCCUGCCCACGAAGAUUAAAUCUCAAGUUGCUUUUGACAUUUACCAAUUGACUAUUCGUAUUUCAAAAACUUCAGCAAAAAUGUAAGGAUUCCAUCCCCCAAUUUAACAUAGAAGGGAGCCCUGCCAGGUCCGACUAGAAACCCAGUUGCACUAGAUCAAAUUCAAUGACUAUCAUUGAGUAGCACAAUCUCCAAAACAUUUUAGCUGAAAAUCAAGACUUUAAGAUGAUAUGAGAUGUAAAAAAGGAAAAGAAUAGGAAUGAAAUACAAUAGAUAGAAGGAAACCAAGCAUAAGAUAAAACCAUCACAGCAUGUUAAACAAACCCUGAUUCGAAAUGUCAAAAGUAACCACUAAGAUUAUGUACGAUGCAAUAGAAAAUUAGACACAAAAUAUCGAAAAUACCUCAAGUCAUGCCUUCAAUUCCUAAACUCUUGUUUUCCCCCAAGUUUCAAGCUCUAAACUGCAGCUUUCUCCUAAUUUUCAUGCCCUAAAUUCUGAUUUCUUGCCACCAAGCCAGUGUUACAACCGAAUUAGGGAUUUUGGUAGUGCGAGGUCAAUAAAGCUGCCCAAAUUCAAAGUGUUCAAACUAAUUAGUGGAGUAGCAUAGACAAGGAUGACAAUGGCGAACUCCAAUGAAUUUAUGGAUGUAUUUGGUAGAGGAGAGAGUGGAGCAGGUGGACAUUUUCGGCUAAGUAAAGAGGAUGGAGAAGAGAUAAAAUUGGAUAUGAAAAUUUGGUCAAGUGUUGUGGGUAUAGAAUGCGAAUGUGUCCAACCAAUGUCGUACUUUGAAAAAUCCUUCAGCCCGCCAUACCUCUUCAAUUUUUCAGUUUGCCGCUCUUAGUUUCUUACGUAUAAAUAAUGCGCAUUUCUCCUAUUUAGCAGUAAGAUUCAUGCUUUCUUCCUCCUUCUCCUAUUUUUGUAUUUUCAUUUCCUCAUCUACAUGUAAUUAAUUUUUUUAUUUUGAGUUUUCUUUUUAUUUAACUCUGAAAUUGUAUUAAAAUUUUAGAAUUUGAAAAUUUAAUGUGUUUGGGCAAAGAUUUUUAAAAUUUUCUUUUACUAAUAUAGGACUUUUUCUAAUUUAUAAUAAAAAAUACUUCAAAAAAUAAAAAGGUUGUUAAAAAAUGUAUUCAUGACUAAAAAAAUUCUUUUAAUGAAAACAGUUUUGAUACUCAUUUUAUGGUUCUAUCAAUCAUGUAUGAACUACAAUCUGACAAGACCUGGCAAUCAGUUUAGUUGAUCGAACAAUCAAAAUAGUUUGCUAAUGAAACGUCAAAUAUAUUUGGUACAAGUAUUGGUUCAUAAAUGAUACAUGUUGUCUUGAUGACUAAAUAGGCAAUUUGUGAAAUUUUUUAUCUUGGGCUUAGGGACAUAGUUAUCUAAUAAAAAGACCUAUCUGCCAUAUAACUAUUGUAAUGAAAGAUAUAUCUUUAGAAUUUAUAACAAAUUAUUACCUAAGUUUGGAAAAAUUAUAAAAUGUGUAUACAUAGUUUAUUAAGAUACCAUCUGCAAAUUGCUAAUGAAAAAAUAGGGGCUAAAUUGCAAAAGAUAGGGUGCCAUAAUAGAAAUAAUAAAAUUGGUGUGUUACAUAUGGGGUUAAAUUGGUGUCUUUUUGGAUAAUUUGUUUUCCUAAUGUAGGUUUUUUCAGGAUCUGUACAAAAAAAAUAAUGUUCAAAAACUAAAAAGCUUAUUAAAGAUAUGUUUAUAAUUCAAAAAAACUCUUUUAAUGAAAAUAUUUUUGGUAUCAAUUUAAUAAUUUUAUCAAUUAUGUACGAAUUGUGGUUUGACAAGACCUAAUAAUCUAUUUAGUUGAUCAAAUAACCAAAAAGUUUGCUAAUACAUGCAUGAAAGACUAAAUGCAUUUGGUACAAGUACCGAUUCAUAAAACCAUAAAUAAUUUGACUAUUGUAAUUAAUAAUAAACUCCAGUCAUGCAAUUGUCAAGAUUUUACUUAGUUUCAUAUUAAAUUUUAUUGUUCUUUGCCAUUUUUUUCACACUGUGCUAAUCAAUAAUUUUCCAUAUGUUGUCAAGAGAACUAGACAGGGAUCCAUGAUAUAUUUUAACUUUAUAACAAGUUAUUAUCUAAGUUUGGAACAAUUAUAAAAUAUGUAUACAUUUUUUAGUAAAAUACUUUCCUCAUUUUGCAAAUGAAAAACAUAGUCUAAAGUGUAAAGCAUAGAGUGCCAUAUUAGAAUUAAUGAAAUCGGUUUAUCACAUACGAGCUUAAAUUGCAAAAGAUAAGGUGUCAUGGUAGAGAUAAUGAGAUUAGUUUACCACAUAUGGGGCUAAAAUGUAAAAGUUAGGGUGUCAUAAUAGAAUUAAUAAAAUUUAUUUACAACAUAUGGGCCAUAUUGAAAAAUUAGGGUGGCAUAGUAGAAUUAAUGAAAGUGAGUUAGGAACAAGCACUUUAAAUAGUGACGACUAAUUGUUAUCACUAAUUCUAAAUCGGUUACCCUAUUGUGACGACAUUGUAAAUUAUCACUAUAGGAUCUAUUUCAGUGACAACGUUUUUCUAAGAUCAUCAUAAUGGUGAUUUCCCGCCACACCGGUCAAUUGCGCGCCCCCAUAUUGUGACGACUAAUCCUGUGUUGUCACUGAUGACGAGUCUACCCCGGUCAACUAUGAUGACAUCAAAAGUCGUCACUAAAGUUGGUCAAUUGUGACAAGUUUCUCUAUUGUCACUAAGAAUGUUGUCACAAAAGGCCAAUUUCUUGUAAUGAUAGAGAAGAUUUCUCUUGCCUACUAUCUCAUUAAUUUGAAUGGCUUACUAAGUAAUUAAUCAAGCUUCCCAACUAACUAAUUGAUUCAGCAAAUUAUUUAACAUAUUCCCUUUCUUAAUGUGCUGUUCCGCGAACUCCAAGCAGCUCUCGAAAAUAGUUGAACUUGUUUUUUGGAAGUGCCUUGGUAAAGAUGUCUGCAACUUAGUUUUCACUCAUGCAAAAUUUUAACUCAACUUCACCAUCCUCAAUUGUAUAUCGAAUAAAAUGGUGCUUGAUAGCAAUAUGGCAAGUUCUGCUAUGAUAAAUUGAAUUUCUGGCAAUGUCAAUUGUUGAUUUGUUGUCAUAGAACAUUAUCGUAGCUCCUUUUGCUUCUCACCAAUGUCUUCAAAAAUUCUCCUAUGCCAAAUGACUUGUGCUGUUGCCAAACUUGUGAACACACAUUCAACUUUAGUGGAUAAUUGUGCCAUACUUUGUUGCUUCUUUAAUGCCCAAGAAAAUACUCCAGAACCAAACGAAAAGAAAUAGCGUAAGGUGCUCUUCAUAUCAUCAAGGCAUCCACCCCAAUCACUAUCAUAAUAACCAUACAAAUUUAAAGUAUCGCAUUUGCUAAAUUUAAUGCUGUAGUUGAGUGUGCUUUUGAUGUAUCUUAACACAUUUCUGGCUGCUCCAAAAUGUAAUUGACUAGGGUUGUGAAUAAACCUUGACAAUAAACUUGAAGCAAACAUGAUAUCUAGACUUGUAGCUGUGAGAUAAAGCAAAUUUCCCACCAAACUUCUAUACAAAGUGGAAUCAUUUUUUUUUUACCAUAUUUGACAAAUUGAUCACUUACAACAAGUGAUGUGGGCAUAGGUUUACAAUCAGCCAUGCCAUGCAAAAUUUCACAGGAAUAUUUUCAGCAUAUUUCUUUUGACAAAUAAAGGCCUCCAUCAUCAUAUUGAUAAAUCUCCAUGCCAAGAAAAUGAUGUAACAAUCCCAUAUCAUUCAUUUCAUAUCUUUUCAUUACGUCUUUUUUAAAAUCAGCUAUCAUAUUUUAAUUGUUACUGGUAUAACUAGCAAAUCAUCAACAUAUAAAACAACAAUGAGAAUGUUAGAUUCACCUUGGGUUUUCACAUGCAAGGUUAGCUCACUUUUACUCUUCUUGAAUUCUUGCUCCAUGAAAUAAGAAUCAAUUUGGCAAUACCAAACCCUUAGAAUUUGUUUCAUUCCAUACAAUACUUUCUUCAACUUAUAUACUUUGUCUUCUUGUCCUUCUUUGAUAAAGUCUUAAGGUUGUUGAACAUACACUUCUUCCUUCAAUUCUGCAUUCAAAAGGUAGAUUUAAUAUCAAGUUGGUAGAGAUUCCAGCCUUUUCGGGUUGCCACGGUAAUAAGAGCUCUAAUUGUGCCAAAUCUUGCAACUAGUGCUGCUGCGAAUAACCCUUAGCAACAAGUCUUGCCUUCUUCUUUUGGAUUGAACCAUCCAAAUUUAGUUUGACAUUGUAAAUCCACUUGAUACCAAUGAUCUCCUUGUCUUGAGAUUUUUCAACUAGUUUCCUAGUCUUGUUCUUCUCAAUUGCAUAAAUGUCAUCUUCCAUUGCCUUUCUCCAAUCCUUUUCUGCAUAUGCUUCUUCAGAAUUUUCCGGCUCAAACAUGCAAAAAUUGCAUCUUGCAUAAACAUCACUCAAACUCCUCAUUUUCUUUAGAGUUGAGAUUGGAGAACUCGAACUUUAACUUGGAGAUGAUAGUGGACUCCUUAUUGGUUUUGAAUCAUCACCAUUUUCUCGUCAUUUGUUGAAUUUGCAUCUUCUUCAUGAUGAUAGAUAGCAUGCUUCACAAUCUUUUUCUCAUUCCAAUUCCAAGUAGCAUUUUCAUCAAAUACAACAUCUUGAUUAAUGAUGAUUUUGUUAGUUUUCAAAUUAAACAAUCUAUAGCCUUUAGACUUGGAGUUAUAACCAGCAAAAAUACAUUUUCACUUACUUCCUCAAUCUUGUACACUUUUCUUUUGGAAUUUGAGCAUAGCAAAUGCUCCCAAAGACUUUUUCAGUGUUUCACCGAUGGUUUCCUUUCAUUCGAUGUUUCAAUUAGUGUUUGAUUCGACACGACCUUUGUAGGAUUUCGAUUGAGCAAAUAAAGCAAGUAAAUGGACAAAAAAAUAAACCUGACCUGUACUAAAAAUUGGACAAAAAAUAAAGCAAGUAAAUCCGAGUUCGGAUCUGUACUAAACCUGAUCUCGGAUAAAUUUCUGUAAUGAGAGGCUACAUCCGAGAGGAGGAUCCAAGCUCGGAUCCCCAUGUUACAGGCCUCGGAUCCUAAUGUGCAGUGAAGAUAAAAAUGGAAAAAAAAUGAGAUCCGAGAGGUAUUUUGAGCGAUCCAACCUCGGAUCCUCAGUUGCGGCUCUACAACUUGUGCUCUGUUCACACAAGCAUUUUUUACCAAUUGAUCUGCAAGAAAUCCAGCUAGAACUGAGGAAGCAAGUAUAGAGAAUUCAAGAAGUAUAUUUUGGUGAUUCAAAGGAGCAAUUUACAUCAAUUUUAACAACUCACCUUGAUCUUGAAUUUCUCUAUAAAUAGCAGUCUCAGAGGACAUUUUCACAACUUUUGGAAGGCUGCAGAAAAUCACCAAAAAUGUAGUCUUCACUAGUUUUUCUUAGUUCAUUAGUUAGAGCAGAUUAGUAUAGUUAGUGUAGUUUAUCUUUCUUGUAUUUGUAGCUACAUUUGGAUGAAGAUUGAGGAGCAAAGAUGUAGAGAUUGAUCUCAUGUGACAAGGGUGAUAUCUUUUCUACUACUUUCUCUCUUGUAUUGGAUUUCAUGUUUAGUUAUAAUAUAAGUUUGGCUUUGUGUUUCUAUUAUGUUUAGUUAAAGUUUAUAUCUAGAGUAUGGAUGAACUUUCUAUAUCUUGUUAGUGAUAUUUACUUGGUUACUUGAUGAUAUUAUUUUGAGCAAGUUAUUUAUCACUUUUGCUUUUCUAAUCAUGAUUAACCGGCCAUUAAUUGUAAUAAUCUUAAGGUGCUAAGUUUGCAAUGAAAAUUGGAAUUUAGCACUAGUUUAAGGAAGUGAUAAACCUAGGGAGUACAUUCACGAAAGUAGAUGUGCACCUUUGUGGUUUUAGUGACUUGUUUCAUGUAAUUUCAUAAAAGAAAUGAACUUGUAGCUAAAUUCUUAACCACAAAAGUAGGUAUAAAUUAACUAUAGGUAUAGUUGGUACACUAGCGAAAGUGGGUAUCACAUACAUUAGGAAAUUACGUCAUAAUUAACCAAGAUAAUAGUUUUCAUUUAACCGGUAAUUUCAUUUGCAAUAGUAGUAAGGAAUUCCAUAUCUCUAAGAGCUUUCUUCUGUUGUUAUUUUUAUUAUUGUUAUCUCAUGUUUAUAGUGUAGAUUUAAUAUCUAGUACUUGUGACAGUCUAAAUAAUAAAGGUGUUUGAAAAACAUCGGUAAUUGACAAUUUUCCCUGUGGGUUCAACCCUUAAUACCCUGUACUCAAUCGUGACUUGUAUACUUACAAACAAUUGUGUGUUGGGUAUUUAAAAUUUUAUAAAUAUAAAACUUGACUGUGAAUAAACUAAUUGAUAUAUGUAUGCCCCGUACUUGUCAAGUUUUUGGCAUCAUUGUCGGAGAUGAUUUGCUCAAUUUCGGCGCUAAAAAUAACUUUAUUAGUUUAGACAUUUUAAUAGUUUUUCUUGUAUAUUAAUUGAGUCUAGUUUGUUGUGUGAUUGUUGAGUUAGUCUUGACUUUUAUUUUCUUUUAUUUUUGUGUUUAAUGUGUAUAUGUAUUUUAUCACCUAUUCUUCUUACUAACCUUGCUCUUAACUUGUUUAAAAGCAAUUUUAGGUAAUGAAGAGGGUAGGUCAAUUUGGAGAACAAUGCAUGAGAAUUGAAAGUUAGGCAAUGAAUGGCUACUACGUGCAAAGCUCCAUGGAUAGAGGUGACCAAGAAAUUAUUGAAGGUAUAUCAUUUGAUGAUGGCUUGAGGUGCUUAAAAGCUAAAUGGGAUUUUAUAACAUUAAAAGUUCAAUUGUACACAUUACAAAUGUGCUAGAACAAAAGAGGAAUUUUAAUGCUUUCAAUUCUUAUCAUGAAAUUUGUGACUUGUGUGGAGAUGAUCAUGCUACUUAUAUAUGUAGGCAAGUACAAAAUGUGAAUUAUUGUGAUGAAUUGGGGUAUUACAAUCCUUAUUUUAUCAAAAUGGACCUAAUUGGAGAAAUUCUUAUACUUAUGGAUGCAUAUAGUGAUUCUCCAAGUUUUUAUGAUUACCAAUCUGAAUGUGUCUAAUAUGAAUCUAAACCAUCUUGCGAAUUAGUGAUAAGUGACUAAUUUACACUAUAUUUGAAUGAUAUUUUAUAUCAUUUUUAGUCACUUUGGCAAUAUUGGAGGAAGAAAAUAGAUCAUUUUGGCUAUAAUUGGUGAAAAAUGUUUUUAAGUGAUUAAAUGAGAUUUUUAUCACUUUUUACUUGGAUUUUGUGAAUUUUGAUAGUUUUGACACAUCUUUGUAUUUCGGUUAUAACUUGAGCUAUAAUGAUCGGAUUAAGAUGAUUCUUGAGCUAAUUUGAAGAUAAGAGAUAGACCUACAACUUUGGUGAAGACAUCGAAAUCCAAUUUGAAGGUUUUCUAGGUCAAAAAGCCGAAUUACAGUAGCUAAUUUUCUAUGGUCGAAGCAGAAACAAAACAGUGAGCAGUCAAGGGUAUUUCUAUCAUUUCUCAGCCUACACAAAUCCAAAUGAGGUGAUUCUUGAUACAUUGGAAAGCUAACUCAAAGAGGUACAAGUUUUAUGUUUUUGCUCAAGGGUUAAAUCAGCUUAUAUCAUCAAGAAAAGUUCAGUUGAAGUUGAGGCAAAAUCGGAGCAGAGCUGAAGAUUGAACAGAAAUUGCACAAAAGGUCAUUAUAUCAAUCUGGCUGGAAUUAUGGCCGGAUUUCAGUCAGAAAAGGCUGCUCUACACGUGGACAACUUGAUUUCACCUCCAAUAAGUCACAUGUAAUGCUAAACAUGUGACAAACAUUACCAGCCAUAAGGGAAAAUAUAUAGGCCUCAUUUCUUAACCACUUUCAUCUUUAUAUAGCCAAAACUUGCAAGAUUGAAGGAGAGACAUACGGGAGAAAACUUGGGAGUGCAGAAAUGUAACUCUUCCAUUUUCUGUGUGUUAGAUUAGUUUAGUAUAGAGUAGUAUAGCUCAUCCACUCUUGCAUAUUAACUAGGUUAGGAUGAAGAUUGGGAUGAAAAAGGAGGAGUUGAAACUCAUGUGACAAGGGUUAUCGAUCUCUUCUCUAACUCUUUAUCUUUUGUACUUGAUUCUAAGUUUAGUUAAUAUACAAGUUAUGGAUUUCAUGUUUAUUAUGUGCUUCUAAAGUUUAUGCCUUAGGUUUGGUUAAACUUUCUAUGAUUUGGUUAUUUGAUGCUAUUAUUUGAGCAAAUUAUUUAGGACUUUAGCUCUUUAAAUCAUGAUUAAUCUGGUACCAUUGAUUGUGAUUAUCUAAGGUGUUGUUUCUGCAAUGAAAAUUGAUAUUUAACACAGGUUCAAGAAGUGCUAAACAUAGGGAAUACACUCACGAGAGUAGAGGUGCACCUAUGUGGUUUUAGUGAUUCAUUUCAUGUAAUUUCAUUGAAGAAAUGAACUUGUAGCUAAUUUCAUAACCAUGAGAAUAGGUAUGGAUUAGUUAUAAAUAUAGUUGAUUCACUACGAAAGUAGGUUUCAUAUGCAUAAGGAAAUUACAUCAUAACUAGCCUAGAUAGUAGUACUCAAUGAUCUAAAUAUAGCACUUGCAUGAGUAGUUAGGGAUACCAUAACCUAAGGAGCUUUCAAUUGUUAUUUUGCAUAAGUUUAGUAGAUUCCAUUUCUUAUAUUUCAUUAAUAGUCUAAAUAAUAGAGAAGUUUUAGUAACACCGGUAAUUGUUCAAUCUUCCUCGAGGGAUCGACCCGAUAUAUACGCUAAACUACUAGUUAACCUAUAUACUUGCAGUGAAACGGGUGUAUUUUGGAUUUUUUAACUUAUACGCAUAUUAAAAACCCGUCAACAAAAAGGUUAGCUACUGCAUCUUUACCUUAGGAAUUAGAAAGUAAACCAUUAGCUAAUGAUUCUAAUGCAUCUUGGGAGCUAGCUAUAGAAAAAUUUUCUAAUCAAUUUGAUUUAGUUAUAAAAAAGCUAGCUAAUGCAAUCUCCAAUCGUUUUGCUAAGAUUGAUGAAAGGUUAGAUGAAUUAGUUUCUCACUUUGGUAGAAUACAAGACCAAUUGCAUGAGUUGUGCAAAGUUAUUUCUUCUAAUUAUAUGCACUAUGACCCUAGCAUGAACGGUGAGCAUGUUGCAAGUGAAAGUGCAUUCCAUUUUGAUGAAAAUGAUGAAUUCAAUUUGAGUUUCAAUGAGGAAAUAUCCAUUUCACAAGAUAAUAUCUUUGGAACUAUGUUAAACCUCAAGAAAUAAGUAUUAAUGCCUCAUUUUUCACCCCUCUUGAGAAAUUUGUUGGAAGUAUAGGUUUUGAAGGUAUUAUUGUCCAAGAAGAUCACGCGGACAUUCCUUUGGUAAGAAAUCAAGUGACACACAUUCAAGGUAAAAUCUAUGAAUCACUUGAUACGAAAUAUGGGCUGCUUAUGGGCCAUGUUUUGGGCUGCAAGAGAUUGAAUCUUUUAGUAAUAGUUAGUAGUUUAUUUUCUAGAUUUCUAUUUUAUUUGCUAGGAAUAAAUUCGGUCCAAGACAUCAUGUUGAGUUGGAUCCGAUUUGUAGAGUCUAGGCUCACUAUAACUUAAGUUGGUUAAUUAGCUUUUAUUGGGUUAUGUUGGGCCAGCUUAAAGCCUUCAUUGGAUCAAUUAUAAGCUGACCAUUAGAUAGUGGGUUUGAGUAGUGGAAUCGGGCCAAAGGCCUAGCCUAGCCGAGUUAGGGUUUUGUCUUGUAAGGCUAUACAUAGCCUAGGUUUUCAUUCAUUAGGGGACAGUUUCAGAUUUUAUCAAAUAUACGUGAGUUUAUUCACUCUCUCUUGUCUCAAGAGAAUUUCCUUUAAAUACUUGAGAAUUAAUCUCAAGUUGUUCAUCGAACUUAUCAAUCAAGUAGUCUCCUUGAUUGUGGCGUUCUUCUAUCUAUACUUUUGGUUCACUAAAUUUGCUAGUCGUGGGUUAAGGAAUCUCCUUAGUUCGUGGCUUGUGAUUCUAGAAGGGUCAAAGUUCCGCCAAUCAUCCCAACUUGGUGUUCGUCUAGAUCCGUCUCACAUCAUCACUUAAGAUAGGUAAGUUUCCUCCAUCUCUCUUAUAAUUUGAUUAUGUGGUUUUUAUUCUUAAGCCACCUUUUAAUGAUUCACCAUGUCCAAAAAUAGUGGAUUAUUCUUUAACAAUCCUUCUUGAAAAGUGAGGUGAAAUAGUUAAGCUAAUGACUAUAAAGAAGCGUUUGUUGGAGGCAAUCCAAUAAUUUCUAGUUUUUUAGUAGGCUUUAGUUAUUUGAUUAGUCUUUUUUUUGUGUGUUUUGUAGGUAGCAAUGACAAGAAGUCAUGUGAAUUAUUUCAAGUGCAAAAGAGCUUAUAAGGAGUGGAGACCGACGUAAAAAUGGGAAGCUUAAUCUUUAUUUUUGAGUUUACAAUGCUUAAUUUCAUGAUACGAGAUUAAGUCAGUCAUUUACAUGAAAUUGAAGUGCAUUUAAGUGAUUAAGUAUGUUCUGAUCUAUUUGCACUCUUUUGAACCAUUUGAGCACCAUUAUGUGCAUUGAAAAUGUCAGAGGGACUUUUUGAUCCUAGAAGCUCAACCAUCAAUUUGCAUUCUACAUGUUUUUUAUUUGUUUUGAGGAGUUAAGAUUCAUGUUUAAGUCACUUUCCAUGUGCAUGAAAUGUUGAAUUGUUGAACAUUUCGUUGUAGAGCACAAAUUGGAGAGUGUGUUUCAAAUUGAAAAUUGCAGAAAAUUCUGCAAUAAGUGCAGAUUCAAUGGAUCCGAGACCUCGGAUCUACUUCUGCAAUCAAAGAAUGAAUUCAAUUUUUUUUUAUCCGAGUUCAAUUAUCACGAUCUGACCUUGGAUCCUUUUAGAAAUAAUUCAAAAACGAAGGUUUGGUUCACUUUUUCUCAUUCUUUCCUCUCUUCCUCCUUCAACGUCCCCACACCCAAAAUACAUACUACUCACUAAAUCACUCUUUUCACUAUCUUAUCUUCAAACAAACUUCACCACAUUACUCCUUACACUAUCUAGAGUGGUUUUCAUGGUUUAAUUCUUUAAAAAACAUCUCCAAAUUUGAAUUAAAGAUUCAAGUAAGCUAGGGUUUCAUCUUCUCAUCUCUUUCAAUUGAGGCAAAAUUGGAGUGAGUUUCUUGGGGGAGUUUCACAUCAUUUUCAUCUCUAAACAUCACCAAACCACUUUAAGGUAGCAAAUCUUCACCUAACAUUGUCAUAUGAAUUUUGCCAUGGUUGAAUAUUUUCUAUUUUUAGGGAAUUUUUAAUAUGUGAAGCUUGGUGUAUUUAUUUGAGCUUAUUGAUGCUAUUGGUGAUUGUUAGUGAUAAAUAAAUCUUGAGGGUGUGUUUAUUGUAUUCAUUUGGUGAAUUUUAUCUAAUUUUAUGCUUAAUUUGGCUUGGUGACAAAGUUGCAUAUUAAAUGGCCAAGAUAGCAUUUUAAUUAGCUUGUGGGAGUUUAUAAUAUUCAUGCGAGUAAUUUAGAUUACCUCAUGAAUGAAAAGGUGUUUGGUUGAAUGAUUUCUUGAAUUCUUAGGUAAUUCUAAAAGAAGAGGUGAAUUGAAGAUGAUUUAAUUGACGAAAUUCAUAAAUGCACUUAUAUUCUUUGUGGUUCAAUGGUUUUUAGUAUUUCAUGAGUUCUCAAGAAGGUCAUUUAUAUUUUGUGACAGCCUCACCUCACCCUAAGGCGAAUCAAAGGGUUCAGAGGACCGCCUGCCCAACUCUCGCCAGGACUACGGAGUCAAUUCACACAAACCCAAUAUAGUACGCGCGAAAGGAUCUAAGAAAACGAACAAUUGCAGGCCACCAACAGUUACCACAGAGCUUACCAAACCAUACGGAAGUACGGAACAUCGGUUAAACACUUAUACAUUUUUUUACACCGGAGUCUUGAACAAGUGAACCAAAAUACAAGCCAAAGUAUUCAUGCUACACGAAAUACAAUUAGGGUUUCGGUUACAAAGGAGCUUAACAAAAUAACAUAUACAUUAGCUCGACCCAUUUUCUUCCAAAAUCGUGGUUUCAAAGUUUGUCCCCUAUAAGGAAAACAAAGAUAAGGGGAAGGGGGUGAGUUUACGCUCAAUGAGGUACCAAAAUAAUAACAAAUAAGAAACGUGGAACUUCAUAUUCAAUUAGUCACAUAUGCGAAUCAAAUAAAGAAAUGAACAAACACCAUAGAUAGAAAGGAUACGGGUGGCUCUCCGGAGCCAAAUUCCUAUUUGCUUCACCGAAACUUGAUCGAAAUAAUAGUUGACACUCCGUCAACGCUAAAGGAGUAACCAAUACCGUAGACUCCACUUUCUCCAAUUCCUUCCACCUCACAUACCCCGACCGGGCCCGAACUCCAAUCAGUUCAGAAAUAGUAAUACUCGAGUAUACCGGAAUCAAGGGUCUCAAUACCCAAAGAUCCUAAAACAGACUACCGUGGUUCGUUAUCUAAUCGACCAGGCCCUUGCCGGCCCGACUCGAGUAACUAGGCCACAGGUGUUGAGCUCAGAGGUCACAGAAAGGUCAAUGGAUACAAGUUUCCAAACGACGUCCGAACAGAUACAGAUAACAGAUUCAGAUUCGCACCAAAAUUGGCAUAUGAAUAGACAGAGAACGAGUGUGAUAAAGUACACCCUCGUCUCAAACAAAAUAAACAGAUAGUUCAGUCGUUCAUAUCACAGAUUGCAUGUACAGAAACCGAGUUAAACAACAAGUGAGGGGAGUGGUACACUCGCCGGUUUAAAUACGGAUACUUCAAAAGUUUUCACUUCAGACUGGCUUUAAUUGCCAAGAAACCCUAAAAUCAUCAAAGUAAAACAAUUGAAGGUUUCACAUCCAAAAUCGAGUAAACGGAAUGUACAAGUGAGGCUCGACUACAUGUCGUACGUCUUUCCAGGUUAAGUACUAGUACAAAAGAAUAAACUAUGACUUUUGAGCAAAAAGAUAACAGUUGGUUCUAGGGUUACAAACAACUCCCAAAACGCAUCAUUUUUACCAAGAUCAACUCAACUUGAAAGAAUCACGUGGCCCUAAAAUUUUGGGCAGCAUACCCUCUGUAUUUACCUAUUUUCCAGCCAUUUAUGGCUUCAUUGUUCUCCUCAAUCAAUCCCAAAGUCACACAUAAAAAUAACCUCAUUGUAAUAGCCGUUCAAUAGCCUUCAAGUGGUACAAGUACAAAUUCAAGCUAGGACAAUGGUCCGGAAAUGAAGUUUAUGCCCUAAACCAAAAGACAGUUUUGACGUCAUUUAGCGGAAUGGACACAACUGGAGCUACACUUAUCGGAUUGGGGUUUAAUUUACACCAUUUUGAAGCUAAGACAGAGAGCUAUAACUUUGAUGAAGACUACUAAGUCCAGUUCUCACCCUAACUAGAUCAAAUUUACCAAAACAACUCCAGAUUUUCCAGUUCGAAACUCACCGCGGAAAUCAACUAGCAGUCCUGUUUUAGUCACUCAUAUCUCAGUACACACAACUCCAAUUCAGGUAAUUCCAAAGCCAUUUGAAAGCUAAGAUACAAGGCUAUAAUUCUUAAGAAGACAUCGACAACCAAAUCAGUAGUAUUCCUGGUCAAAACAACCAAUUACAGAAGCUGAUUAACAUGUUCGGAUAGAAACAGGCAGCAGGGGUAAUUUGGUCUUUUCAUAGGUUACGUUGCUCCGAUCGAGCUGAUAUUUUGUAGGCUACUAUAAAAUAUCAUUCUCUACAACUUUCAUGUUUUGUACUAAAGCUAUAUCGGCUUCUAACUAGCUGUAACAGUACCGGGCAGAAUUGGGGAAAAAUGAAACCCUAAUCUGGAAAUUUUGGUACAAAGCGGAAAUUUCCGCAAAUAACUACAAUUUACAUACAAUAGCUUCAUUCUAAACUAUACCAAGUCAUCAUCCAUGGCCACACAAUGUUAAACAUAUGAAAACAGAAAAAUUCAAGAAUAAAUAUAAAAGUCACCAAUCUCAACUAAAAUCAAGAAAUCUUUCACCAAAUCACAUCUUUAGCCACCACAAGUCAUUAAUUUGACAUUAUCAAUACCAAGGAAAGAAUUCCCUAACUACUUACCUUGCAACCUCAAGAAAGGAAGCUACUUAGCACCAAUUUCUUCCUAAUCACUUCACCAAGAACCUUAAUCCUACCUAGAGAAGAGUUUUUAUGGAGUGAUUUGAAGUUUUAUCGGUUAGAUUGGAAGAUUGGAGCAAGUUAUGGAAGGAAGAUAUUGAAGGGUUUUCUCUCUUUUCUGUCCAAGAAAUUCGGCCAAGAGAAGGAUGAAAGUGAUGAAUUUUUGGUCAAUUUUGGUUAAUUGGUAAAGGUAAAUAAGAUGGUCAAAGUCAAGAAUAAACCACAAGGUGACACUUGUCACCCUUAUUUAAUGCAGCUCUAUCCUUUUGUCUCUCCAAUGAUAAUCCAUCUAGGUAACUUCUAAUUAUCUCUUCACACCUGAUAAAUUAAACUCGGUAUACACAACUUAACCUAAUUGGCCGAAUUUUAUCAAACUUACCGCACUAGCGGGUCCCACACCCAGUAUCCACUUCUAAAAUCUCAUAAGCUAACUUAUACUCGGAAAAAUGAUUUUAAAACCAUCUUUACUCAUAAAAAUUAUUUUCACAAAUUUUCAAAUAAAUAAAAUAUGGAAAAGCGUGCAAUUAAAAGAAAAUAAAACCUAGCAAUUAAGAAAAUUACGGGUUCUCACAUAUUUUGACUUGGUGUGUUUGCCUCUAUUUUGAGAUUACUUUUGUACUUUAGGGAACUUGAUUAUCGAUGACAAAAUGUAUAAAUGGAACUUACUUUGUUCAUGAUGAUGGGCUUAUUUUGUGAAAUUAGCUUCCCUUUACUUUGGAUACUAAUGCACAUACUAGAUUCGCAAAGAUUAGCUCAUUUCAUGUUUUUAUCCCCUAAACAUUAUAUGGUUUCACAUGCUUUAUCACUUUCCCCUUUUCCCUUGAUUCGCAUGCUUACUUCUUGAUCGUUGCAAGUUUUUACUUAGUUGUUUUAUUUGAUUUUACCAUUUGAAGUGGUGCAUUAAUUGAAUUCUCCUUUCUUUGCAAAUAAGGUUGGAAAUUCAUUGCUUGGCUAUGGAUUUGGAUAGCGCAAAUUUGAUAGGGGAGUACUACUUUCUUUUACUUUCGUUAUUUUUCCUUUCUCGCAUUAAGGGCAAUGUGAAAUUUAAGUGUGGAGGAGGGAAAUAAUUGGCUUGCUAUUUUAUGCCAUGCAAUGAUAUUUUGUGGAUUUAAAUGCAUUAGAAAUGUUGGAAUUGUACUUGAAAAUAUUGCCAUGUUGAACUUGAAAAAUUGGUUUGUUGGUAGUGAGUUUCAUCCAGUUAUAAGGGAAAAUUCUGUUAAAAUUCUGUUAAAAUUUUUCUAAAAUCUUUUUCAAUAUUUCACUAUGUCCCAAAAAUUUUUGCAAUUUUUGUCUUUGUUUUAAAAAAGGGCCAAUUUGUUCCAACUUGAGCAUUGUGGUUCUUCUACUUGUUGAAACUUUAUAUGUAUUUUGGAAGAUUUAGUCCUCAUUUGAUUUGGAAAUAGUUAUUAUGCAAUUGAAAUUUUUGCAUUUUAGGAAGUAUAUCCUAUAAGAUAGGGAGAAUUAUACCUAUAAUUUUACAUGGUUGAUGAGAUUUCUCCUCUUUAUUUAAUUUGACAAGUAAGUGAUUGAUAUAGUCAACAAAAGUUAUAAUCUUCCUUUGGUUAUUCUUGUGUAUUUGCUAAGAGAGAAUGUCUAUUUAUUGUCUUUUUUUUCAAAAAAAAGAGAAGAAAAGAGUUUUUGUUCUAUUCCAAUGAUUCUUGUACCGAGUAACGCGAAGGUUGGCAUCUACAAAUGUCAACACUCGCAUAAAAAGAUACUUGAAUUAAGAGUAUGCAUAGCAAUCUAAAUAAGUGAAAUAUUGAGUAACCAGGGAUCUUCACCGAAAAGUGUUGAUUUUCGUGUCAAAAGACAUUUCCACUAUUUGAGUAAAAAUUAGUAUGAAUAAAUCCCUCUUAGUUGUAAAAUUUGUGAAAAAGAUGAUCUUGGGAGAAAUAUAGCUAUAAAUUGAUUAUGUGAUUUGGCUAUUUGUGAAAUUAGGUUAGGGUGAAAGAUUAAGUUUAACUUAUUAAAAUUUGGGUAUAAUUAUCUUUCCUAUACUUGAUUUAUGAGUAUUUAGUGUAAAUUAAAAAAUUGCAUAAUGAUUGUUUGCCAAGUUAUAAGGCAUUGAAUUAAGUGCAUAUAGCGUUUCUCCUCUUGAAUCAUUGUUGUUGAUUAUGUGUUAAUUGCUUGAGAACAAGCAAUGGUUUAAGUGUGGGAGAGUUUGAUAAGUGCAUAGUUUACAUGUUUUAAGUAUGUUUUGUUAGUUAGUUUUGGUGUGUUUUAUUUAGUUUUAUAAUUAAAUAGUUAGGAUUCUAGUGAAAAUAUGCAUUUUGUGAUUUAAGUGAUAAAAAUUGCAUUUCUGUGGAUUAUUAUAGUGAAAGCAGCAUGUUUUUAUAGGUUUAAGCAUUCAAUCAUCAAUUGGAGUGAUUUGAGAAGAUAAUUAGAUGAUUGAUGAUGAUUUGAAGUGAUAAAAGAGAGAAUAUGAAGUGCAAAAGAAGAAAUGCAAUCAAGAAUAUAAGGAAUCAAGUUUUUAAAAGAAAUCAAGUUUUACAGCUUUGACAUCUUGUAGUAUUUUAGCUAUAUCUUAAACUAUAAGUAUUGGAUUGAGGUGAUUCUUAAAUCAUUUUGAAACUAAGAGACAGAUCUACAUUUGGUAUGACAUUAAAGUCCAGUUCAGUCGUUUUCAUUAUCAAAAAUGCAUUUUCAUUGUCAAAAGCUAAAAUAGAGCCCUGACCAAUCAAGGGUUAUUUUGGUAAUUUCUCAGUCCACAGCGGUCCAAAUUGGAUGAUUCUUGACGCAUUGGAAAUCUAACUCAAAGAACUACAACUUUCAUGUUUUAACAAGAGUUAGUUCAGCCUCUAUCAUUAAGAAAAUAUCAGUUAAAGUUGGACAAAAAAUAAAGCAAGGAAAUCCGAGUUCGGAUUUGCACUAAACCUGACCUCGGAUAAAUUUCUGUAAUGAGAGGCUACAUCCAAGAGAAAGGUCCGACCUCGGAUCCCCACGUUACAGGUCUCGGAUCCUAAUGUGCAGUGAAGAUAAAAAUGAAGAAAAAUGAGAUCUAAGAGGUAUUUUGAGCGAUCUGACCUCAAAUCUUGCCUCGGAUCCCCAAUUGCUGCUCUGCAGCUUGUGCUCCGUUCACACAAGCUUUCUAACCAAUUUAUCUGCAAGAAAUCUAGCUAGAACUGAGGAAGCAAGUAUAUAGAAUUCAAGAAGCAUCUUUUGGUGAUUCGAAGGAGCAAUUUACAUCAACUUUAACAACUCACCUUGAUCUUGAAUUUCUCUAUAAAUAGCAACAUUGGAGGACAUUUUCGCAACUUUUGGAAGGAUACAGGAAAUCACUAAAAAUGUAGUCUUCACUAGUUUUUCUUAGUUCAUUAGUUAGAGUAGAUUAGUAUAGUUAGUGUAGUUUAUCCUUCUUGUAUUUGUAGUUAGAUUUGGACAAAGAUUGAGGAGCAAAGAUGGAGAGAUUGAUCUCAUGUGACAAGGGUGAUAUCUCUUCUACUACUUUCUCUCUUGUAUUGGAUUUCAUGUUUAGUUAUAAUACAAGUUUGGCUUUGUGUUUCUAUUAUGUUUACUAAUUAUAAUUGUUGUAACUUUCUUAAGUAAAAUGGUAAGUUUGAACAAUUCACCUAUUUACCAUUUUAUUUGUAAAGCUGAUAAUUUUUUAAUAAAAACUUACCAUUAUUUGAGUUAAACUUACUAAUUAUAAAGUAGUAAGUUUCGUUGGAGAAGUAGUAACGUUCAGUAUUUAAAGAGUAAAUCUCAUAUCACACUUAUAACUUACCAAUUUUAUUACCAAAGUUACCAUAUUACCACAUGAUGUUACUUUGAAUAUUGGAAACCUGAAUCAAUAGUUGUGCAAUUGUCGCUAAAUAUACCAAUCUUGGAUGUAGGAACCACUAUUAACUGGUUGUACUAGUAUUUUAAUUUAAAAUAUUCACAAGUUAUGAUGACGAUCAGCACUAUAGCAUAUCCUGAAAUAAUACUGUGUCCAGGGUGCUGAUGGCGCGGGGCAAAGCCCCCAUGCUGGUUGGGAAGGGAGGGCAGUGGAGGAAGGGUUAAAAAAAAUAAAAAAUGUAUAACCAUACAAAUGACUUUUAUCUUUUUAAAAUUAGUAAAUAAUCAUAGAUCCACUGCAGUUGAAAAACUUGGUAAGGCUUGCAUAGUAAAACAAUUAAAAUUAAUAAUCUUAAAACACAAGUAAAACAAUUACAACAAGAGAUUAUAGAAUUAAAAUUAAUAAUCUUGGAAAUAGAAUCAAAAUUAACACUAAUAGACAAAAUCAACCUUCAACCUCUAGUAUUAAAACAAAUGAAAUAGCGAUAGCAGAAAAUCCAGUAAAAGAAGAUCAAUAUGUAAAUACCAUAGAAAAAUGACUUUUCAAAAAUGGUUUGCCUUAAUAACAAUCACAGUAGAAGAUUUCAAAGAAACAUUUGUAGCUCUAAUAGACAGUGGAGCUGAUACAAGUUGUAUUAAAGAAGGAAUAAUCCCCACUAAAUAUUGUGAAAGAACAAAAGAAAAACUAAUGGCCGCAAAUGGAGAAGAUUUAGAAGUAAAAUAUAAAUUUACAAAAGGAUCAAUAUGUAAUAAUGAAUAUUGUAUUAGACAUAAUUUCAUAAUCGUAAAAAAUAUAAAUCAUGAUGUAAUUUUAGGAACACCUUUUCUAAUUCAAAUAUAUCCAUUUCUAGUAAGUAAUGAAGGAAUUUCAGUAAACAUAAUGGGAAAAAUUAUUACUUUUAAAUUCUUAACCCCCAUAAGACAAAAGGAAUUACAAACAUUACAAACAUCCUCAAUAUAUAAAACAAUAAAUACUAUUACAAGAAUACAACAGCAAAUAAACUAUAUUAAAGAAGAAAAAUCUUAUUUAAAAAUUGAAGAACAAUUAAACGACAUUAAAAUACAAAAAGAAUAUCAGAAUUAGAAGAAUUAUUUAAAAAAGAAAUUUGUGCAGAUAUUCCUAAUGCUUUUUGGAAUAGAAAACAACAUAUGAUAGAAUUAACAUAUGAAAAAGAUUUUAAUGAGAAAAAUAUUCCAACAAAAGCUAGACCAAUACAAAUGAAUUCGGAGCUACUAGAAUUUUGUAAAAAGGAAAUAAAAAUAUUAAUAGAUAAAGGAUUAAUAACACCUUCAAAAUCACCCUGGAGUUGUGCUGCAUUCUAUGUGAUGAAUCAAGCAGAAAAAGAAAAAGGAGUUCCAAGAUUAGUAAUAAAUUAUAAACCUUUAAAUAAAGUAUUGUAAUGGAUUAGAUAUCCUAUUCCUAAUAAAAAAGAUUUACUCAAUAGAUUAUUUAAUGCUAAGAUAUUUUCAAAGUUUGAUAUGAAAUCUGGAUAUUGGCAAAUAAUAAUAAAUCCAAAAGAUAGAUAUAAAACAGCAUUUACAACACCCUUUGGACAUUAUGAAUGGAAAGUCAUGCCAUUUGGAUUAAAAAAUGCACCAUCAGAAUUUCAAAAUAUAAUGAAUGACAUCUUUAAUCCUUACAGUUCAUUCAGUAUAGUCUAUAUAGAUGAUGUAUUAAUAUUUUCAGAAUCCAUAGAACAACAUUUUAAACAUUUAAGUAUAUUUUUAAAAGUAGUUAAGAAAAUGGAUUAGUUGUUUCUGCUCCAAAAAUGAAAUUAUUUCAAACAAAAAUAAGAUUUUUAGGACAUAAUAUACAUCAAGGAACAAUAAAACCAAUUAAUAGAGCUUUAGAAUUUGCUACUAAAUUUCCAAAUGAGAUAAAAGAUAAAAAUCAAUUGCAAAGAUUUUUAGGAUGCUUAAAUUAUAUAGCAGACUUCUUUCCUAAAUUAAGACAAGAAUGCUCUAUAUUAUUUAAUAGAUUAAAGAAAAAUCCAAAACCUUGGACAGAUGAACAUACACAAAAAAUAAAAUAAUUAAAGGAAAAAAUAGAGUCAUUACCCUGUUUAUGUUUACCUCAUCCUAAAGCAUUCAUGAUAGUUGAAACUGAUGCAUCAGAAUUAGGAUAUGGUGGAAUAUUAAAACAAAGAAUAGACAAUUCAAAAGAAGAACUAGUCAGAUUUCAUUCUGGAACAUGGUCUGACCCUCAAAAGAAUUAUUCAACUAUUAAAAAAGAAAUUUUAUCCAUAGUUUUGUGCAUAUCAAAAUUUCAAGAUGAUUUAUAUAAUAAGAAAUUUCUAAUCAGAAUAGAUUGUAAAUCAGCAAAAGAGAUUUUACAAAGGAUGUUCAAAAUAUAGUUUCAAAACAAAUAUUUGCUAGAUGGCAAGCAAUUCUUUCAGUAUUUGAUUUCGAAAUAGAAUUUUUAAAGGAGAAAAUAAUUCUCUUCCUGACUUCUUGACUAGAGAAUUCUUACAGGGAAAUGGAACGUGAAACUCACAAAAAAUACAUUCGAAGACUACGAGCUGAAAGAGAUAACCCUAUUCUUCAAAAAGAGAUGCAAAUAUUUCUCAUAGACCAUUUACCUAUUAUAUUAUAAACCCUGACAAAACCAUUCAACCAAUUCCUUAUUCUCAAAUUCGAAACCAUGAUACAGUUCAUAUUAGACACAGCUUUUGGGCUGCAACCAUCCAAAAAGAACAAGCCUUUCUUUUAAAAAGGCAGAUCAAUUCGAAUAUCAUAUUCAAAAAUGUUCUAGAAAAAGCAAAUCAUCCUCCAGAAGAUAUUCAACAAAUUACAAAUCGAAUUCAACAGCUUAAAGAACAGCUUAACAGAAUUAUUUGUUAAUUUUGCAGGAUCAUGGAUUCAAAAGCAGGAAGUUCUAGACCAAAAACUCCUCAAGAUUAUGAGAUGAGUCUUACCCCAGUAUCUCCAAAUAGAUUUCAAAUAUUACAAGAUUUUCCAGCUUUGACUUACAGUCAAGCUACUAGUACUCCAACCUUUCCUCCAAUAAACCCCAUUAUAUUCUACACUUAAUCAGACUGUUCAAAGAAUUUUCCCUCCAAAAUGUUAUUGGCAGCCAGAUGAUCCUUCAAAAAAUUUGGAUUAUUAUGAAUUGAUUCUUACAGAUACUCAAUCUGUAGAAAUAUAUCCAAUACCAGAUAAAAAGAACCCAAAUAUUGUAAGUCAUUCCAAAUGCAUAAUAAAGAAAGUUUGUUCACCUAAUGAAUGGACUUCUCUUUAUUCAAAGAAAUCGUUCUCAGUCAAUUUUAUUCCAGAUGGAUUUACUUAUCAGGAUUACAAAAUGGCAUGGUACCGUGCUUUUUUGUAUCGACCAUUCAAUCAUUCAUGGUUCUUUACAUUUAAAGAAUGUUGCAGCAAAGAAUUUCCAAUUUGGUUCAACCAUUGGUGGAAAUGGUUUGGCCCUCAAGCAGACAUCCUACCUCCAAAUGUUCUGAUGGGAUUCCAAACCUAUCUCAAAAAAGCAAGGGGGGAGGAAUAUACAAGGCCAAUAUUAUUUCAUAUGGAGUUCAAAGUACCAUGGAUUUUUUGCUGGAGUUUCAAAAUUCAUCAAGAAUUAGAAAAGCCACUCCCAAUGUCUCUAGUCAGAGAAUUCAAAAUAAAAUGGUGGACAGGAUUCAAUCAAGAAUUCGGAGAUCAAAUUAAUGUCAUCAGAUUCCUUACCACUGGAGAUAAACUCAAAUGGACUAAAUCAACGUCUACUCCAACCAAUCCAACAAUUUCCAUACCUACUACCACCAAGUCAUCAUCAAAUCCUAUCACGGCACCAACUCCAACCACUACUCCAAUAAAGCAAGACAAAGCAAAAGAAAAAGAGACGGAAAAGGUAUCCGAGGCAAUUUCAAGUGACUUUUUGAUAAAGAAAAUGAUGCAAGAUCCAAAACUACUCAAAGAAUAUUUGGACUAUCUACAAAAGCCAGAGAAAAAAGAAGAAAUCGACAAAAUUACAGAGUCAGCAGAAUCAUCCGAAUCUACUUUUGAUCCAUUCGGAGGACCAUGCGGACAAGACCCAACGACUUUUAGAAAAAGAUGUCGGCCAUUCAACAGAAAAAGAAGAUGAAAUUCAAAUGAAGAUGAAAUGAAGUUCAAAUGUAACUUCCCGAGCUUCUAUAAAUAGAAUCAAAAUGUUAGAUAGAAGGCAUCGGUGAAUUAGCUAUUCAGAAGUAAGAAAGCCUUUGUAAACACUCUCAAACACCAUUCUCAUUUUCAACCCACUUUUCAACAAAUCCCAACCACUCUUGUUUCAAAAGUCUUAUAUAAAGUCAAGAUUCAAGAAAUUGUGCAAGCUUCUGUAGAACCUAUUGCAACUCUCAAAUUAAUUGUAAGUCCAACUCUUUACAUUAAUUACAGUUCUAUACAUUCAUGUUAUCUUUAUGUUACCUGGGUAGAAGUGGUAUCAGAGUCACACCCCUGUUUAAAGUGCAUACGCAUAUUUAAACUUUGCAAUUAUAUUUGCUUUAUUUGAAUUACGUUUCUAUUUUAACUUGGCUAUUUCAUGCAUUUAUGUUACAUAUUUUAUUAAACUUUUACUGAAAACGUUGGUAAGACCUGAUGCCUUGUUAGACCGUUGGUAAGUUCAGGAUAGGAUGUUCCAGGCAUAGUGCUCGGUUGUUCCCGUCUAAGUAAAAUUUAAUUAAAUAUUAAGCAUGGCUGCAUUUCUUAGACAAUUUAAAUUAGGAUCUAAUUCAAAGCAAGCUAAUAUAGUACAAAGUCAUGAAUAUCAUAUGCCUAUAAAUAAUUCAGAUUGGACUAUUCCAGAAGAAAAGAUAGAACAUAUAUAUAGAAUAGGCUCGUUAGAUUUCAAAACAGCAUUAUCAGUUAAAACACAUGAAGAAACCAUAUCUAUUCAAGAAGAAUAUCAAACAAUUCCAUUAUUAAAUCAUAGUACAAUUCAAAAAUAUUUAAGUAAAGGAUAUCGAUACAUUCAUAUAGGUUUAAUACAAAUUGCUGUAAAACCUUUAUUCCAUUUAGGAGUAGAUGCUCCUAUAUAUCUAGCAUUAAGAGAUACUAGAUUAAAAAGAUAUAAAACUUCUUUACUAUCUAUGAUUCAAACAAAUGUUUCUAAUGGACCUAUAUAUUUUAACUGUGCUCCAAAUUUUUUAAUAGACCUAACAGACCCACAUAUUCUAAAUUCAGUUAUAUUAGAUGUUCAUUUACAAGGAAAUGAAUUUGAAAAACAUACAAAGAAUUUUGCAAUAAUAUACAGAAUGUAUUACAGACCUCUAUCAUCUCAUUUAAAUCCCAAAUUUAUAAUGACUCAAACUCUUAAAGAAGAAACAACUUUAUUACAAGUAGAUGCUGACCGACCUACAACUUAUACACCAAAAAGAUUAAAAUGGAAUGAAAUAACCAUACCAAGUGAAUUUGAAAUUAGAAAUCCACAAAUAGCAAGAAAUGUAGAACAAACUACAGCCGAAGAUAUUAUAGAGAAACCUGAUGGAAAUACUUUAAUAAGAUUUGCUUCAUUAAGAGAAAGACCUAGUUCAAGUUAUUCAUGGAUACCAGCUAGACAUUCUAAUUAUGAAUCCACUGAAAUAAAUUUUCCUUUAGAAAAUACUUUAACUUUUAAGUAUAAAACACCUGUUCCAGAAGUUAUAAAUCAAAAUCAAUCAGAAUAUUCACCUACUCAUUCACAAAUGAAAGGAGAAAUAAAUGUUAUAAAUAAACCAUAUAAAAUAAAUCAUAAAUAUUUGCAAGAAGAUUUUGAUGAUGAAGAAAAUACUGAAAAAAGAAUUUGAUUUUUUCAACUGGAAUUAUAAAGAAAAAUUAAUAUUAGAGUGGAAAACAGAAUAGAAAAACAAAAGUUUGACUUCCCUUUCUUUACAUGGUUAACAUUUUAUACAUCAAAAUUAGGAAAUAAACAAUGUUUAUGACACACCACAAAUAAAUGUUCAAACUAAUUUAUAUAAAAAUGGAAAUUAAAAGAUAAUCAAGUAUUAACUUCAAUACACCCUCCAUUACAAGAAGUAAAAAUUAAUAUAGGACAAGGAGAGAUAAUUGCCUCACCUUUUAAAAAAGGAAGAGAAGCUGAAUCAAGUACAAAUAAUAAUGUAAAUUUAGAAGAUAUUAAAAAAAUUUAUCAACAAAAUAAUUAUACAAAUCAAAUUCUCAUACAAUAACUCAACAUAUGGAAGUAUUAAAUACUAAGAUAGAUACAAUAAAGAAACCAGAAUUAAGAUUCCCAAAUGAUAUUUCAGCACCUCAUUUUAAACCUAGAAGCCUGACAAGAGAAAAAGAACAAGAAUUAGUACAAAAUAUUAAUAGUCAAAAAAUAAAUACUACAGAUAAUGUAUUAAAUAAAAUAUCUCAAGCUCUACAAAACUUAACCACAGAAUCUAAACCUUCCACUCCAAAAAUAAAUACAUUAGACAGAAUAAUAGAAGAAAAUUCAACUGAAGAAAUAGAAGAUUUAUCUGAAAAAUCAACAGAAUCAGAAGAAGAAGAAGAUAUAAUUCUACCAAUAGAAAAUCAAUUUGAAGAAACAGAAGAAAAUCAGAUAAAUAGAAUAAAAAGAAAAGAUUAUAACAAGAAAAAUAAUUGGAAAAUGGUAAGUUCAAAAAAUUAUUAUCCUAGACCAAGUCCUCCGGAUAUUCAAUAUGAAGAAAGACCAAAAUUUAGAACUACUAAAUAUGAUGGAGAUUCAAUAUAUGAAUGGAAUAUAGAUGGCAAAGCUGAAUAUGAAGUAUUAAAUAAUUUGCAAGAAAUGGGAAUGGCAAGAUUAGCUUAUAAAAUUAAAAACAUUCAAGAAAGAAAUAUUGUUCAACAUUAUUAGUCUCAGGAUUUACUGGACAAUUAAAAAAUUGGUGGGAUAAUGCAUUAACAUUACAAGAUAAAUUAUCAAUAUUAGAUCAUACACAAGAAAUCGAAGAUGAUCAAGGAAAUAUUCAAAUACAGUCAGAUGCUGCAGAAUUUUUAAUUGUAACAAUAGUCAUGUAUUUUAUAGGAAAUCCCAAAGAAGAAUUAAAUUCCAAUAAAACAUCUCUAACAAAUUUAAGAUGUCCAACAUUAUCAGACUUUAGAUGGUAUAAAGAUAUGUUUUUAACAAAUGUAUUAAGAAGACCAGAUUGUAAUGCUUCAUUCUGGAAAGAAAGAUUCAUAACUGAAUUACCAAGUUUAUUUUCACAAAGAAUAAUGGAUAAUUUACAAAAAGAAAUGGGAACAGAUGUCAUUUCAUUCGAGAAUAUUACUUUUGGGCAAUUAUUUGCUUUUGUGAAAAAAGAAGGAUUAAUGUUAUGUUCAGAAUUAAGAUUACAAAUAAAAUAUGGUUCAAAAACAAAAGAAGUAAGAAAGCCUUUGUAAACACUCUCAAACACCAUUCUCAUUUUCAACCCACUUUUCAACAAAUCCCAACCACUCUUGUUUCAAAAGUCUUAUAUAAAGUCAAGAUUCAAGAAAUUGUGCAAGCUUCCGUAGAACCUAUUGCAACUCUCAAAUUAAUUGUAAGUCCAACUCUUUACAUUAAUUACAGUUCUAUACAUGUUAUCUUUGGAUUUUUCUUUAAUCUAUUAAAUAAUAUAGAGCAUUCUUGUCUUAAUUUAGGAAAGAAGUCUGCUAUAUAAUUUAAGCAUCCUAAAAAUCUUUGCAAUUGAUUUUUAUCUUUUAUCUCAUUUGGAAAUUUAGUAGCAAAUUCUAAAGCUCUAUUAAUUGGUUUUAUUGUUCCUUGAUGUAUAUUAUGUCCCUGGGGGUGGUCUGUGUUUGUUUGAUGUAUGAGGAAGAAUUGGUCGUAAAAAUUGAGAGGUUAUUAUGGUUAAAUUUGUUGAGCUAUAUUAAUAUGUACAAUAUAUAUAUUAACACGCUUAUAUUAUAGAUUUUUUGUUUUUGGUAGAUGAAGUGCAAAAGAAGAAAUGCAAUCAAGAAUAUAAGGAAUCAAGUUUAAAAGAAAUCAAGUUUUACAGCUUUGAUAUCUUGUAGUAUUUUAGCUAUAUCUUAAACUACAAGUAUUGGAUUGAGGUGAUUCUUAAAUCAUUUUGAAACUAAGAGACAGAUCUACAUUUGGUAUGACAUUAAAGUCCAGUUCAGUCGUUUUCAUUAUCAAAAAUGCAUUUUCAUUGUCAAAAGCUAAAAUAGAGCCCUGACCAGUCAAGGGUUAUUUUGGUAAUUUCUCAGUCCACAGAGGUCCAAAUUGGAUGAUUCUUGACGCAUUGGAAAUCUAACUCAAAGAACUACAACUUUCAUGUUUUAACAAGAGUUAGUUCAGCCUCUAUCAUUAAGAAAAUAUCAGUUAAAGUUGGACAAAAAAUAAAGCAAGGAAAUCCGAGUUCGGAUUUGCACUAAACCUGACCUCGGAUAAAUUUCUGUAAUGAGAGGCUACAUCCAAGAGAAAGGUCCGACCUCGGAUCCCCACGUUACAGGUCUCGGAUCCUAAUGUGCAGUGAAGAUAAAAAUGAAGAAAAAUGAGAUCUAAGAGGUAUUUUGAGCGAUCUGACCUCAAAUCUUGCCUCGGAUCCCCAAUUGCUGCUCUGCAGCUUGUGCUCCGUUCACACAAGCUUUCUAACCAAUUUAUCUGCAAGAAAUCUAGCUAGAAUUGAGGAAGCAAGUAUAUAGAAUUCAAGAAGCAUCUUUUGGUGAUUCGAAGGAGCAAUUUACAUCAACUUUAACAACUCACCUUGAUCUUGAAUUUCUCUAUAAAUAGCAGCCUUGGAGGACAUUUUCGUAACUUUUGGAAGGAUACAGGAAAUCACUAAAAAUGUAGUCUUCACUAGUUUUUCUUAGUUCAUUAGUUAGAGUAGAUUAGUAUAGUUAGUGUAGUUUAUCCUUCUUGUAUUUGUAGCUAGAUUUGGACAAAGAUUGAGGAACAAAGAUGGAGAGAUUGGUCUCAUGUGACAAGGGUGAUAUCUCUUCUACUACUUUCUCUCUUGUAUUGGAUUUCAUGUUUAGUUAUAAUACAAGUUUGGCUUUGUGUUUCUAUUAUGUUUACUAAUUAUAAUUGUUGUAACUUUCUUAAGUAAAAUGGUAAGUUUGAACAAUUCACCUAUUUACCAUUUUAUUUGUAAAGCUGAUAAUUUUUUAAUAAAAACUUACCAUUAUUUGAGUUAAACUUACUAAUUAUAAAGUAGUAAGUUUCGUUGGAGAAGUAGUAACGUUCAGUAUUUAAAGAGUAAAUCUCAUAUCACACUUAUAACUUACCAAUUUUAUUACCAAAGUUACCAUAUUACCACAUGAUGUUACUUUGAAUAUUGGAAACCUGAAUCAAUAGUUGUGCAAUUGUCGCUAAAUAUACCAAUCUUGGAUGUAGGAACCACUAUUAACUGGUUGUACUAGUAUUUUAAUUUAAAUAAUUCACAAGUUAUGAUGACGAUCAGCACUAUAGCAUAUCCGGAAAUAAUACUGUGUCCAGGGUGCUGAUGGCGCGGGCAAAGCCCCCAUGCUGGUUGGGAAGGGAGGGCAGUGGAGGAAGGGUUAAAAAAAUAAAAAAUGUAUAACCAUACAAAUGACUUUUAUCUUUUUAAAAUUAGUAAAUAAUCAUAGAUCCACUGCAGUUGAAAAACUUGGUAAGGCUUGCACAGUGGGAUAUAAUUAAGAAAAGCACCAAGGUUCCUUGCAGUCUUGCGAAGUGGAUAAACAUCCAAAUCUAAGUGUUUUAAUCCCCAAAACUGAUUACACGCAUAGAAAUGAUACGGUAGACUACUUUUUAAUAGCUCACACACUGAGACGGAUUGUCACGCCCCGAGCCCGCGCGUGCCCGUCACAUGACAUCCGCCGUACUCCCAAGUCCCACUCAGGAAUACAAGGCUACAUUAACUAAUUAAACUUGACAAUACUAAAUAAUUUAAACAGAUAAAGUGCGGUUCGAAUUACAAUAAAAGGAAGUCUACGAAUAUUCAAGGCGUUCGUACAUUUAUUCUCCAAUUGAAACAGUGGAAACAAAAGUAAAUAGGAUAACACUAGAAGUAGCUAGCCUGCCAACUUCUAUGCACCUAAACUAAUAAAAGUCAUCCUCAGGGUCUUCUAUGCAAACCAAUUCAUACUCUUCCGAAUCUGCAAAAAUGAUAAGAAGUGGGUUGAGCGACACAUCGCUCAGUAGGUAAUAUUUACCCCUCUGUUGGACCAUGCACUCUUAAUUUUAUAGGUACACAAAUAUAUAAUUACAACUUAAAUCAUUUGCAUAUCAUUCACAUCCGUAAUUUUGAAAGUAACGUUACUUAUAAAGCAAUCAGUAGUAAAGAAUGACAAGCAAUUUAAAAACAUUUUAUUGAUAGUUGUACAUAAGAAAUCGUAAAGUCAUAACUCAUUUCGUCUCAAGUCACAAAUCUCUUCAUAUCCACUCAUAAAUCGCUUCAUUUCAGUUCAUAAGUCUCAUUUCAAAUCAGUUCAUAAAUUCAUUUCAUACCGGCUCAUAAAUCAUUCUUUCAGAUCAGCUCAUAACAAGUACAUGUAAUGACCGGCUACUGAGUACUCAGCCUAGAGAUUAAACCCCUACUAGGUGGGCGACCAAUAAGUUUCAUGACUACCGAUUGGUCUCAUUCAUAUUUGGGUCAAUUGGCCGGACUCUAUACCAGGCUACCAUGACGAUAAGACAGGACUAUAGCCCCUACCGUCUAUUCCAUGACCAUUCUGAGCUUUACUGGUCAAAACUCAUUUCGUAUUUCAUAUACAUAAUUCCUUGCUUUCAUAAAAGAUUCAGCUCAUUUUGUAUAUAAGAACAUAUCAAAACGUUUCAAAUACGUCACAUGGUCCAUCUUUGUAUAGUAAAAUACAGCUUUCAUAAAUACCCAAGUAAAACAUUUAAUCAAACACAUUUCGAGUCCACAUAGCCAAGUAGGAUUGAAAACGAGAGUUUCAUUUACACAUUUGAAAAUCUCAGAAGGGUAAGUAUCGCCUACCUCUGUUUGGCUGCUUGAGUGGAACUACCUUAGAUCCUUGUAUCGUACCUAUCAAAUGCAUGAGUUCCCUAAUUAGUUGUUACUUCCUAUAGAUGCAUAAAUAUACAACCUCUAAGUAAGCAUAAGAUUCAUACCUAGACCAUUAAAUGGACCCUAAUAGCACCUCCCUCAAAUUGGACGAUUUCUAUUUUUGAAAAGUUUCCUAAUUUGGAAAGUUUCCCUUUUUGUAACGUUUCUUAAUUUAAAAGAAAAUAGUUACUCAUAAGCAUGUUUAUUAUCUUGACUGUUAUCUUACUAUACAUAUUAAUAAUUAUUUAUUAUUAUAUUAUUAUCGUCCUUGUCGUCGCUACUUUAUUUUAUUACCACUUAUAUAUAUCUAUUAAUUAGUUAUUAUUACCUUUCACUUUAUUUCUACCUUUGUGCGUGUGUAGGUGUUAUUAUUAUUUAUGUAUAUAUAAACCUAUAUAUAUAUUGUCUUGUUAUUAUAGUUAUUGUCUUAACCUAUUACACUUGUAUUUGUAUUUAUAUUUUCGUUUACAUCCUUAAUUUGUUUCAUCCAUAUUAUUAUUACUAUUAUUAUUAUUUUAAGCAUUUCGUUCCACAAUCUAAAGCUUAUCUUACAUUGUACAACUUAAUCUAAUAAGGCUAGGUUAAAAUGUUUUAGAUUUCUAUUUAAGUACUUUAGAUUUAAUUAAUAAAGUAAUAUUUUACAUGACUAACCCUCAAUUCUAACAAUUAUAUUAGAUUGGGUCUUGAGUUUUAAUAUUCACAAUAUACUAUAAAAAUGGACUAGUUAUAUUUAAAAUCUAUUUAUUAAAUAUUUACUAAAUUUUUAUACUAUAGUUUGGUCCAAGUUUAAAUUGCUCCCUUUCAACUUAUUUAUUUUGUUUAUUGUUAUCAUUAUUUUUCAUUUUAUUUUAUUUAUUAUUAUUAUUAUUAUUAUCAUUUUUUUUAAUUUCUGGUGGGCCCAUGGUCGGCCAAAUGGUCGCCAGACUCUAUUUCCCUCGGCCAACCGUAAUUGCUCCAUUGUCGCCAGCACUUGCUAGCGACAUCAUCUCAAUUUUUUUUUUUUUUUUUUUUUUAGUUUUGGUCUUGGGCCAACCUUGAAAUUCCUUCCUUUGCCGUCCGCAACGGGGGCUCUUUUCCCCCUUGUUUUUUUUUUUUUGCUUUUCCUCUUUUGUUGCGUUGCUUCUGCAACGCCUAGCAACAACAGGGCAGCAGCAGCCGCUGCUCUUUCCUCCUUUUUUUUUUCCUCUUUUAACAGAUUGGGAAAUCUAUUCAUCCAAGAUUAUAGUCUAUCACCCUAUUCCUACUAAUCCAAACAUGAAUCCUCCUAAUCUCUUAUAGAAACGCAUAUAUCAACAUGUAUAUAACAAUAAUAUAUAUUCAUAAAAUAUUUAGGAUAAAUAAUUCGAUUACUAGAAUUUAAAGGAGAGGUUUCAUGUGAAUUUGGGACUUACAUAUUUAGGUGCCUAGUUGACGGAUCGAUUGAUGGUGACGCCUUUUUCUCCUUUUCACCUCUCUGACGGCUCUUGCUCUAGGGAGGCAAACAAAAGAAAGGUAAGACUAGGGUUAUCUCUCUGUCUAGGGUUUUAAUAAAAUCCUAAACCUAACCCUACUUAUAUUAGAACCCCUUAUCCCAUCCUAUAGUUACUUUAUUUAUUUAUUUUUUUUACAUAGUAACUUUAUCUUUUUAACUAAUUGAGAAAAUAAAAUAAUAAGGAUAAAAUAAUAAAAUUGGUGCCAAAAGUCGUGGGUUUCACACGGAUACAUUCACAUACCUUUUAGUAGUUAAAACAUUCAGUAUAAAACUGAAAAUUUCAAACAUAUUUAUACUUUGAGUGCACCAGAAGAUGAAUUCCAAUUAAGUAAAUUCUGUUGUAUGUGCGUUUGAGUUAGUGCACAUGCAUUAAACAAUUUAAUUCUGAUAUUUUUGAAUGUCGCAUCAAUACUCACCCUUUCCUGUACUUUUCAAACAACAAUCAACGAAUUCUUUCCACUUUGUGCGCUAAGGUAUCUGCACAGAUUGGAAUAUGUUCUCACUUAAUGGUCAUAAUUCCAAGUGAAAUUAUGAAGGAUGGAAUACUUGCACAGAUGAACGAAUUGUUUCGAAUUAAAGAGUGUGAAGUUCAAGUAAGUUAAAGAUUUUGACUUUUAUAGUCAUUGCAGGCAGCCUGCACUGGUUCUCUAUCUGAUUUGAUGUUAGAAUUGAUUGUAUCAUUAGUCAUCGUAAUAAAUUUUUGUAAAUUAUUUAACUUUUCAUUGAGUUCUUGCAUGAACUCUAUAUGGUAUUAAAAUUGGCUUUUAAUAUUUGACGAAAACCCUUAAUUUUAUGAGUAAAUCUUAUAUACAUUGACAGUUUAUAUACCAUCAUCAUUUGAUUCAUGAUAUGUGUAAAAAUUAAAUUUCAAAUUCAAAUUUUACAUAGUUAUCAUUCAUCCAACGCUAAUAGAAUAGGAAAGAUUAAUCCUAAUUUUAUUUGUUUUUCUUAUGGAUAUGUCAUCAUGGUCACAUCAAAUAAAAUUCAUCCAAAACGUCAGGUCAUCAUGCAUCUAUCCUAAGGGCAAUUAUUAUCGUUCUGCAUUUGUUCAAAUACAGUAAUAAUAGAAGAAAACUUUUUAUUCUUGACGCUGACGUAUGACGGGCGUCAUCGAUCGAAAGACUUCUCCAAAACAUCCAAGACUUUGACAUGUAUUUUCUUUGCUCUAGGAUGAGAUUGUUAAGCAACAACUAGAAAGCAUAAGCUUGCUUAGUGGAUUGCUUUGGACAUCUUGGUUGCCAUAGGUCAAAGCCACCAUGGAGAAUAUGCUUCUAUUGCAUUUCAUUGCACAAUAAUUAUUAGGCCAGACAAUAGAAAUCUUCUCAUUUGCACUGUCAUGAGCUGGAAAGAAUGAGCUUGUUUUUCUCCAGGAUGAAAUGAAAAGAAGUUGAAGUGUAUGCUCAUUGCUUAGUCUCUGAUGUGCUAAGAUUUGUCCCAUAGGAAAGAAAAACUUCAGUUAGGUCUAUUCUUGUAGUAUAUCCCUUGAUGUGCUAUUGACUUCUUAGAUGCCCAUAACAAACAUGAUCGGUGGAGUUCCUGCCACAUUAUCUCACAGCCUUAAUAUUGAUGGUCCCUGACCCCUCUAGGUAUAUAUGGUCCUUUAGUUUUUGAAGGAAGAAGGCUCUUUAAAACUGCCCUUCAUGGAUGACAGUCUUUGCACCAGAAGAAGCGCGUCUGAUCCUCAGCCCCCUUAAGGAGCCCCUUACCAAGCCUCACUCUAAAAAUUUGACAUUUGCAAACAAUUUUUUUUUUCAUAAUAGGAGUAGUGAUUUUUAGAAUUCCAAGUCAAAUAAAUCACAAUUAUUUGAGAGUGAAUUUUCUGGAAUUCCAAGUCAAUCACAGAUAUUCAAAUAUAAAACAAAAGGUGUAAAGAGUAAUGGAAAACAUCAGAUGUUGAGUUGAGAAUAAUUCUAAUUAUGGAUUUACGGUUUAUAGAUUUUUGUUUGAUGUGAUUUCUCGUUGGUUGAAUCAUUGAUACAUUGACCGGGUUUCAUAAUAGGGCAAAUUCCACUUUACCCCCCUGUGGUUUAGCGUUUUUUCACAUAACCCCCUAUGAUUUCAAAAGCUAUACAUAACCCCCUUAUAGUUUGGAUUAAAGUGUCAAAGUAACGGAAAUAGUCACUCGUAACGGCGUCACCUAAAAUGUCAAAAAUACCCUUAUGUAAGGUUGAAAUUUAUGUAUUAAUCAAGGGGAGUUAUGUGUAUAUUUUGAAAAUCAUAAGGGGGUUAUAUGGUAAAGUAUUAAACCAUAAGGGGGUUAUAUGGUGAAAUAUAAAAAUCAUAGGGGGUUAAUGUGUCAUGUAUUUAUAAGGGUAAUUUCGACAUUUUUAGAAGUUCCAUUACGAGUGACUAUUUCCGUUACUUUGACACUUUAAUCCAAACCAUGAGGGGGUUAUGUAUAGCUUUUGAAACCAUAGGGGGGUUAUGUAAAAAAAGGGUAAACCACAGGGGUAAAAUGUAAUUUACCCUUCAUAAUAUUCAAGAGAGGGGAAUGGCCAAAUAGGUUUUGGAAUAGAAUUGAGUUAAUAAAAUCACAUGAGUUGUUACAUGUGUCAAAUUUUUAGGGUGAGAUUCAGUAAGAAGACUCCUUAAGGGGCUGAGGAUCAGAUGCGUAGAAGAAGUUUUAUGAUAGAAGAUUGAGGAGAACUUUAGCGGCACCUAGGGAUAGGAUUGCACAUCUACGUUAAAAAGGUUUUUUUUUUUUUGGGUUUAGUGGGGUGGUGGAAUAUAUAAGGAACAGAGAAGUUUCAAAGAUCAAAAUAAAAGAAAGGAUUAAUAUCCUGAUUAAAUACUAUACUCUGUCUCUUAAUUAGAUAAAUUAAAAUUUCUUUUAAUUCAUUAUUGAUUCCACGAAUCAAUCAGCUCAUACUUAUAGAUCAAGAUUAGCAUCUAACAAUGCAUCAUGUCGACCCAAGUAAUGCGAAAAGUUAAGUGGAUGACUUCACCUUUCAGUGAACAAUUACCAUGUAAUUAAUAUCCUUUUACUACACUUAUUUCACAUUAAUCUUGGAAUAAGUUAUGCCCAUUCCAUUAAUCAAUUAACUCAUACUUAUAGAUCAAGAUUGACAUUUAACAAUGUAUCAUAACCACCCAAGUAACGAGAAAAGUCAAGUGGAUAACUUCACCAUUCAGUAAACAUUUACCGUAUAAUUAAUAUCUUUUUACCACAUUUAUUUCACAUUAAUCUUGGAAUAAUUUAUGCACAUUCCAUGAUGUGAUUAAUGCUCAUUUCUUGUACCAAAUUAUAACUCCAAUGAAGCCGUACUUAGAAACACACUCUAAGAAUCUUCCACUUAACGUUAAGAAUUCCGAGUUAUACUUUACAAGCGGUCAGACAUGAGAUGACCUCUCUUUUUAUAAGAAAUGGUAAAUCUUCAUAUUCACUACCUUUUCGUACUUCAAGUAUAUACCCAUUUGUUAAUGAUAUGAGCAUCAUAUAACAAACAAAGUGUAUCUGUCCAUACUCAAAAUACCAUGAUAACCUUGAGUCUAAGGAUCACUUACACAAACGUUACUUAAAAAUUAAUCCUUUGGCACUUAAAGAAUAUCUCUAUACGGAUCAAUUUAGUAAAAUUAAUCAUUCUAUCAAGCAUCCAUAUACUAGUUUAGGUGUCUCGCACACCAUAGUAGAUGAGGUAUAGCACUUUUCAUAUUGAAGUGGUAUAGUAUAUGUUAGUUUAAUUGUAUUAACAUUACCCUUUCUUGGUAAUACUUUAACUAGAAAUAUUUAAAAAUAAACUUUAUUUAUAAUCGAAUGAAUCUCACCAUCAUAUAUUUUAUGAUUUCAUUGAUAGAUUUAUUUUAAGAGGUUUAUCAUGCAAAUAUAAGUAUAUUUGCAAUCAAUAUGAUAAAGAUGUCAUUUAUUAUAAUAUAAAUAAUUCAAGUGCGUAUUAAACUUUAGAGGUUGAAUGACUUUGGGGCAUAUACACUUUAAUCGCAUCAAAAUAUAUAUACUAUUCGUAAGAUUACAUGAAAACGCGUUUAAUGGUAAAUAUUUCAGCCAGCCAUGAUCGUGAAUUAUUAUUACUGUUAGGUUCUCUUGCCUAGUCCCGUGCUAUAGGCUGAAAUUCUUGGCACAUGUCCUCAUUUAGAACUACUAGUUUUUAAGCCCUGACUCCAUGCGUCAGGUAGCUGAGACUCAUUAUUUUGUUGUUAUAUUUGUUUUUUUUUUCUUUGUUAGAUAUAGUAGUCAUGUCACAUGUGUGUGUGUGGUUGUUUUUCCUAAUUGCACAAAUAAACAUGACUUUAAAAUCAGGUUAUCUUACAUUCUUAAUAUAGCAUUAAUCAGUAAGUAAUGCCUAAAAUUAAGCAAAACUAAAAGGCAUGAUUUUUUAACAUUCUUAAUGUAGCAUUAAUCAGUAAGUAAUGCCUAAAAUUAGGUAGAACUAAAAGGCGUAUGGCUAUACAUGUCUCCUAAUCAGGAUUUCAUAUUGGAUCCUAUUCUUUUUGUUGCAAUUCAGAUGAUUGUUUGAUUGAUAGAUUAAAAGUGUUCAAGAAUAACAGGAGCAACAAUGGUUUCUUUGGACAGGACAUCAUUUAUUGAAAAUGAGUCUGGACUCUCAAUAUUGAACAAUUUUAACUUGCAAGGGUGAAUAUGCAUAUUUUCUUAUUUUUCUUUCGUUCUUCCCUUUUUUAGGCUGUCUAUCUCUCUUUUUCUUUUUUCUUUUUUCUUUUUUUUUGGAGAUUUUGAUGAUUUUGGUUUGAUAAUUUGUAUGGGAGGCAACACUUUAUGUGGUAAGUACGAGGAGCAUGGAAGAAGCUUUUGAAUUUUCACUAAGAUAAUGGCUUAGAUAUAUACAAUAUCUAAUAAUUUUUUGAGCUUAAAAUUUUUCUUUUCUACUUUCUAGGUUCUUUGGAUUUAUGAUUCUUACUUAUUUGAUGUUUCUUUCUCUUACUUGGUUGAUGAUUUUUUUUUGGGUAAUCUGUAUCAUAAGCUGCAAAAUUAUAGGUUAUUUUGUGUUCUUAAAUCAUGUGCUAAAAUAGGUGAGUUUCUCUUUUAUUUUUCUUUUUAAAUAAAAGUGGUAUUCAAAAUCAAGAGAUAGUUGAAAACUUUAAAUGGUGAAUUCCAAAUCAACUUGCGUUUAAGGAUAGGUUAGAAUAAAAUGCUAAGAAAUAACCGGUGGAACUAUUCUACCAAAUGGGGUAAUAAACUCGUGUUUAAGGUUAGAAAAUAUGUAUUUAUUGAAUCAUUUUUUCAUGCUCGAAAAGAAAAGAGUUGGGUCUACUGUAAAAGUUCAAAAACUAUAAUCCAUUUGUUAAAUUAUACUUUUUUAUGAAGAAAGUUUAUUCUUUUGCAAAAGAAAAAAAAAUGUUUACAUGGGACCCUUAUGUAUAUAUAUUUUCAAAACAGAAAGACCCUCUAACCAUUUUAACUGAAGAAACAACCGCGGGUAGCAGCUUGCAGCAAAGUGCAAGGUUACAUCGCCCACUCACCACUGAUCUUAAUUUGUGAAGCGGUCUUAAUUUCCAUGCAAUAGACUUCGCAAGCGGAGUUAAUUUAAUUUUUUUUGUUAGUAAGAGGAGUUAAUUUUAAUUUGAUGGUGCAAAUUUGAAUGUAAUAUGUUUCGUACAAUGGGACAGUUAACCAGAAGCCAGCCUAAUAUUUACGAAUUUUGCUCGCAAAAGGAAACCACACCUGAAGAAGGAAAGUAAACGUUUUCUUGCCCCACCAACAAUACCAAAUGCCCUCAAAGUUGGUGAAAAUUACUGGAUAACCGGUCCACUCACCACUCCAAGAGAGCCAGCGGACAGAAGCAAAAUGCCAGCAGAGCCACUGCCACCCAUCACCAAAAGACCAAAAAGCCUCUCAAGCUCACAAAAAUAACGGCAUAACCGGUCCAUUCUGCACUGUUCACAAGCGAUUCGUGCUUUAUAUAUGUAAGAUUAAUAGGUAGGCGCCAUUUUUUAGUUUUGAAUCCUCCAUCUCAUUUUUGGUUUCAGUUGUUACCCCACUUUUCUAUUGUUCAAUUUUUUGUUUUAAUCUCUAUCUUGAUUUUUUUUAUCAUGUUUAAUUUUUCUUGCAACUCUAUUUUGGUAUAUAAUGGAUAUACCGGGUAAUAUACUCAGGCAUGGCAAGAAAAUAAAGGCAAAACAGAGACUGAAACCAGAUAUGGGAUGAGGAUUCAGAGCACAUUUUCCGUCACUCGAAAAUUGUAUGAAUAUGAGAAGACAUGACAAGACUUAGCAGGUACCAAACCUGCAAAUGUUUCAAUUAUUUUGCAGCACUAACGUUCCCCGGCCCCAGUGGUCAGCCACAAAACCCACUUACCAGUUGGCUAGAAAGGCAAAAGAAGAAUGGUAAUGCAAUUGUUAGUGAGAAACAAGGUAGCAGAGUUGACUGUUCCUGCAAAACCUACUCCCCAAGAAUUGGCAAGAAAUAAGACCACUUUCUGAUAUAGACGAUCAAAGUUCCACAGAUUUCUUUUACCCAUGACUAUGUUUUUUUUUUUUGGCUAUAAUCAAUUCAUGGAUUAAUUUGUGUCCACCAAAAUAACACUCUUAACAGAUGGUGUUUUGUAGGCAUGACAGUCACAAAAAUAACUUGAUGUCUUGCUCCAAAAACCAACUAAAAUUUUUUAAGUACACAUCAUGUUGGGCCGCGCUCCUCAAGAAUCGUCAAUCGCAAUUAUUUGAAAUAAUACUGAGUUUGUUUGGAUAAGAGUUUAUUUGAGAUAUUUACUGUAACGCUUUUUGUGAUGUGAUGUAUGUGAGAUAAAAAGGUGAUUGAGAAGAUAAAAAGAUGAUUGGGAUUUGUGAAAAUAAAUUUUGCAAAUCAAAUUAUCUUUGUCCAAACAAACUCACUGUGUCUGUUGGGGGCUUAUGGCCAAAGGACUUUGCCCCCGCCUGCUGGUCGGGAGGGGGUGGGCGGCGCCGUGGAGGAAGGGAUAAAAAAAUAAAAAUAUAUAACCACACAAAUGACUUUUAUCUUUUUAAAAUUACUAAAUAAUCAUGGAUCCACUGCAGUUGAAAAACUUGGUAAGGCUCACACACUGGGAUAUAACUAAGAAAAGCACCAAGGUUCCUUGCAGUCUUACGAAAUCUAAGUGUUUUAAUCCCCAAAACUCAUUAAACACAUAGAAGUAAUACGUUAGAAUACUUUUAAUAGCUCACACACUGGAAGGAUACAUUCAAAUACUUUUUAGUAGUUCAAACAUUCAGUAUAAAACUGAAACUUUCAAACUUAUUUAUACUUUGAGUGCACCAGAAGAUGAAUUCCAACCAUUAACUAAAUUCUGGUGUAUAUGCGUUUUGAAUUAGUGCACAUGCAUUAAAGAACUCAAUUCUGAUAUUUUUGAAUGUUGCAUCAAGCCCAUUUCCUGUACUUUUCAAACAACAAUCAACGAAUUCUUUCCACGUUCUGAUCUAAGGUAUCUGCACAGAUUGAAAUAUGUUCUCACUUAAAGUUUUUUUUUUUUUUUUUGGUUUGGGAGGUGGUGGCAUAGGUAAGGAACAGAGAUGAAUUAAUAUCCUGAUUAAAUACUAUACUCUGUCUCAGAAUCUAUUCUUUUAGUCACGUGAAAAUUUGUCCACACCUUUCAAUAAAUCUGUGUUAAAAGGAUUGAUUUUAGACCCAUGAUAUAGUCACAAAUAUAGACGUAGUGAAGCAAUAAGAUCAGUAGCCAACAAGCUUUUAAUAGAGUUUGGAGCUAGGACAAGCAAAAACUUUGUAGCCUGAUUGCAUCUUAAGAGCCUUAGUUUUUUAUGGAAGAAGGCUUCUUAAAACUGCCCUUUAUGGAUGACAGUUUUUGCACCAGAAGAAGUUAUAAGGUAGAAGAUUGAGGAAAACUUUGGCGGCCACUAGAGAUAGGAUUGCACGUCUACAUAAAUCCCCAUGAAUAGUUAGAGAUUUUAGAGAUAAACGACAAAGGAAUUUAGAGAUUUUUUUUGUGUGUUGGGGAGGGGGAGGAGACAGAUAAGGAAAAGAGAAGUUACAAAUGUCAAAAUAAAAGAAAGGAUUAAUAUUGUGAAUAAAUACUGUCCUGUCGCAGAAUCUAUUCUUUUAACACUUUAAUCACAUAGAAAUUUUGUCCACACCUUUCAAUAAAUCUGUGUCAACUAGUUUUCCUUAACCAUAUCCCCACGAAUCUAUAUAGUGACUCAUCAUCUUGAUAUUCUGUUUAGCACAAAGACAAUUGAAGUGAUCUGCUUUUGAUUAAAUGGGACUUCCAUUGCAAUAAUUAGUAGUUCAAAACAGUAACAAUUUCACUCCCAUUUCAAGCAAAGACUACUUGUAAAAAGUAAGUAAUAAUUCCUUUUAUGCUUCUCUGCUAUAUAAUUAGUCAUCCACAUUGUCCGUUUUCAAGUGUGGUUAUCAACAAGGGUUAGGGCAUUGUGUCAACAAAGAGAGCCGGAGGCCCCAUGUCAGCUCCAACAACCAAGACUGAACCAAAGAGAAACCCCCCUGAAAGAGUCCCAUACUCGAAGCCUCCCUUCACCAUUGGUGAUAUCAAGAAAGCCAUCCCCCUCACUGCUUUAAGAGAUCGCUUCUUCGCUCAUUCGCCUAUCUUGUUCAUGACAUGACCUUUGUCUCUCUAUUCUACUACAUUGCUACAACUUUUUUCCAUCUCCUUCCUUCUCCAUACAACUACCUUGCCUGGCCUGUUUAUUGGUUUUUUCAGGGCUGUGUUUGCACUGGAGUUUGGGUCAUCGCUCACGAAUGCGGCACCAUGCAUUCAUCGACUACCAAUGGGUGGAUCACACAGUUGGUUUUAUCCUCCAUUCCGCACUUAUGGUCCCCUACUUCUCGUGGAAGUACAGCCCCGCCGCCACCACUCCAAAUACUGCAUCACUCGAACAUGAUGAAGUCUUUGUGCCGAAGCCAAAAUCCAAAAUAGAAUGGUACUACAAGUACCUGAGCAACCCUCCAGGCAGAGCCAUCACUCUCAUGAUUACGCUUGCAUUGGGUUGGCCCUUGUACUUGGCCAUCAAUGCUUCAGGCAGACAAUAUGAUCGUUUCGCAUGCCAUUAUGAUCCUUAUAGUCCAAUCUAUAAUGCUCGCGAGAGGCUUCCAAUCUACAUUUCUGAUGUUGGUGUCUUUGUAACAACUUAUCUGCUCUAUCGUGUAGCACUCGCAAAAGGGCUAGCAUGGCUUAUAUGCAUCUACGGGCUACCGUUGCUCAUUCUAAAUGGCUUCACUGUUUUCAUCACGUAUCUACAGCACACUCACCCUUCAUUGCCACACUAUGAUUCAUCAGAGUGGGAUUGGCUGAGGGGCGCGUUGGCAACAGUUGAUAGAGAUUAUGGUGUCUUGAACAACGUUUUCCAUAACAUCACAAACACACAUGUGCCUCAUCAUCUCUUUUCAGCAAUGCCACAUUAUCAUGCAGUGGAGGCAACUGAAGCAAUGAAGCCAAUUCUGGGGGAGUAUUAUCAUUUUGAUGGCACUCCUGUCUACAAGGCAAUGUGGAGGGAGGCAAGAGAGUGUCUUUAUGUUGAGCCAGAUGAUGGAAGCAAGGGUGUUUUUUGGUACAAUAAUAAGUUUUGAUGGGAUUAUCUGAUCCUGAUCAGCUAAUAGUGUGAACUGUUAUUAGUGAAGGUGCAUCUUUGGUGCCUUCUUUUGCUCUGGUGAAAUGCAUGUCUAAGUUUAUGUAAAAUUACCUUGUGCUAAUAAACUCAGAAGUCAUAGCCUACGUUUCUUGUAACUCGUAUGCUUUUUGUUUAUCUGUAGAAAAAGAAUCAAAACUAGUCCAUUUCACAUACCAACAAGUCUCUUAAUUAUAUUGCUUAUUCAUGAAUAGGUUCCAUAGGUUGGAUCCGCAGUGGCAAGGUCAUGACAAUGAGAAAAAAGUCAGUUUCGGUCGGUUUGCUUCUUAGAUAAAAUUAGACUAAUUAGACUAAGAAAAAUAAUAAGUAUUCAAAGCAUUCAUGUUAUGAAUCUAAGUAUGUUUAGACAGUUAAACAAAAUUCCCAUUCCUCACACGGUUUUGCAACUGGUUUUAAAUUACUUGAGUAAUCUGAAAUCAUCUCUAAUUUAUUAGAUGCUCCUAGAAAACAGAUUUUUUACUUUUCUUUUGUAUCUAAACACUUUCAGAAGCAAUCGAGUUAAGAAAAAUCUCUGUCAAAUUCUCAACAUCAGGAGUACUUCUACCAUAAUUUUGCGUUGUCAUUCUUUGUAAACUCAAUGGAUGUGUCCCGCAUUCCUUUCUUAAAGUUUCUAGUUCCUAAUUUAAUUUUGAAUGGUGAUGGCAACAAAUGCAAAAAAUAUUUAAUAGUUGUUAGUUGUUACAACACUGAUUUUCCCAUAAUAAAGCUAAUAAAUUCCAUUUGCAACUCUUUACCACCACAAACUCUCCAAACGUAUGCUGGAAUAUCUGAUUCUAACUCUCAAAAGAAUAUUAAUUUGGCUUAGCCCUUCAAGUCCACAAGGUAGAGGAUUUUUUUUCCCCUUUUGUGGUAUAAGAAAAAGAUUCUUACAACUAGGAAGUUCUAUACCCAACUGGAAUGAAACAAAGAAAUUUCUAUAUGUAUUUGGAAUGUUACUUUUGAAAGAAUAUGAGAUUUAACUUCCUUUGAGGUUUAUGACAAUUGCAAAAAGUGUCCUUUAUUUAAAAAAUUACACCUACCUCCCCUCAUAGCAUAAAAUGACAUAAAUAACCUUCAUGAAUUGCUCAAUUUAACAUCUCCGUGAAGUGAAGUAAUGUAUUUGUAGUAUUAAAGUUGACAAAUCAUUAAAGAAAAGAGAAAAUUAAACAAAGAAGAGCAAGAGUAAUAGAUUCUAUCUUGUUCUAACCACCCAAAUCACCUCAUUCCAAUCUUACUUAAUACUAUAGUUGAUAAGUGACUAAUUUACGUAAUAAGUGUAUGAUAUUUUAUAUUAUUUUUAGUCACUUUAGUUAUAUUAUUGGAAGAAAUGAAUCAUUUUGGUUAUAAUUGGUGAAAAAUGCUUUUAAGUGAUUAAAUGAGGUUUUUAUCACUUUUUAGUGGGAUUUUGUGUAUUUUGACAGUUUUGACACAUUUUCGUAUUUCGGCUAUAACUUGAGCUACAAUGAUCGGAUUGGGAUGAUUCUUGAACCCAUUUGAAGAUAAGAGAUAGAUCUACAACUUUGGUGAAGACAUCUGAAUCCAGUUUGAAGGUUUUCUAGGUCAAAAAGCCGAAGUACAGAGUCAAUUGCUAUUGGUCGAAACUGGAACAAGGCAUGGAGCAGGCAAGGGUAUUCCAGUCAUAUCUCAGCCUACACAGAUCCAAAUGAAGUGAUUCUUGAUGCAUUGGAAAGAUAACUCAAAAGGCUACAACUUUCGUGUUUUAGACAUGAGCUGGUUCAGCCUCUAACAUCAAGAAAAGAUCAGUUGAACUUGGGACAAAAAUAGAGCAAGUGAUCCACACUCGAAUCCACUAUUCAUCCGAACCCUCGGCUGUUUCUGGGAUAGUGGAACCGAGCUCGGAUCCAUACGGAUCCGAGGUACUGUAGCAGCUCGGAUCACUGUAGCAGCCCAGAUUUACUGUAGCAAUCCGGCCUGAAUUUGGCCGGAUUUGUGGCCGGAUUCCUGGCCGAAUUAUGGUCAGAGAAGUCUGCUUUUUACGCGGAAAACUCAAUUUCACCUCCACCAACUCACAUGCGUUGCUAGACAUGUGAGAAACAUUACCAGCUGUAAGGAGAAAGUGUAAAGCUUCAUUCCUUGACCACCUUUCAUCAUUAAAUAGCCAAAUUCAUUGCAAGAGGAAGAGAAGGGAGUCCAUAGCAGAGAUACAGCAAGAGAGAGAGACAUACGGGAGAAGCUUGGAAGAGCAGAAAUGUAGUUUUUCCAUUCUCUUAGUAUUAGUUUAGCUUAGUAUAGAGUAGUAUAGUUCAUCCAUUCUUGUUUAUUAUCUAGAUUAGGAUGAAGAUGGAGGAUGAAGAAGGCAAGGAAGAAAGCACAUGUGACAAGGGUUGUAUUCCUUCCAAACUCUUUAUCUUUUGUAUUUGAUUCCAAGUUUAGUUAAUAUACAAGUUCUGGAUUUUGUGUGUAAUAUGUGUAUCUAAAGUUUAAGCCUUGGGUUUGGUUGAACUUUCUAUAAUUGUUAGUGUUUAUUAUUUGGUUAUUUGACUGCUAUGAUUUGAGCAAGUUAUUUAGCACUUUGGCUUCUUAAAUCAUGAUUAAUCUGGUACCAUUGAUUGUGAUUAUCUAAGGUGUUGUUUCUGCAAUGAAAAUUGAGAUUUAACACUAGUUCAAGAAGUGCUAAACAUAGGGAGUACACUCAUGAAAGUAGAGGUGCACUUAUGUGGUUUUUAGUGAUUCAUUUCAUGUAAUUUCAUUGAAGAAAUGAACUUGUAGCUAAUUUCAUAACCAUGAAAAUAGGUAUGGAUUAGUUAUGAGUAUAGUUGAUUCACUACGAAAGUAGGUUUCACAUGUUUAAGGAAAUUACACUAUAACUAGCCUAGAUGUAGUACUAAAUGAUCCAAAUAUAGCAUUUGCAUGAGUAGUUAGGGAUACCACAACCUAAGGAGCUUUUAUUUGUUAUUUUGUAUAAUUUCAGUAGGUUAAAUUUGUUAUAAUUCAUUGAUAGUCUAAAUAAUAGAGAAGCUUUAGUAAUACCGGUAAUUGUUCACUCUUCCCUAUGGGAUCGACCCGAUAUAUACCCUAAACUACUAGUUGAUCUGUAUACUUGCAGUGAACGGGUGUAAUUCGGUAUUUUUUAACUUGCACGUAUGUAAAAUACCCGUCAAGUUUUUGGCGCCGUUGCGCCGGAAAGAUUUGGCAAUAUCGGUGUGAAGAGUAACUUUAUUAGUUUAGACAUAUUAUUAGUUAUACUGUGACUGUUAUUUUCUGUUAUUUUUGUAUUAUAUGUGUAUGUGUUUUAUCACCUAUUCUUCUUACUAAUCUUGCUUUUAAGUUGUUUAAAAGCAAUUUUAGGUAAUGAGGAGGGUAGGUCAAUUUGGAGGACAAUGCUUGAGAAAUGGAAGAUUGGCAAUGGAUGGUUACCAAGUGCAAAGCUCCUUCAAUAGAGGUAACCAAGAAAUUACUAGAGGUAUGUCUUAUGAAGAUGGUUUGAAGUGUUUAACGGAAAAAUUUGAUGUAAUCAUGUUACAAGUUCAAAUGGACACAAUUAUGCAUGAAAUUGAGCAAGGGAGGAAUUUUAAUGCUUUUAAUUCUUAUCAUAUGAUUUGUGACUUGUGUGGAGGUUAUCAUGCAACUAAUACAUGUAUGCAAGCACAAAAUGUGGAUUACUAAGAUGAAUUAGAGCAUUACAAUCCUUGUUUUGAUCAAUAUAGUGCUAAUUGGAGCAAUUCUCCUGCUUAUGGUUGGGAUAAUCAAUUUACUUAUAGUAAUUCUUCAUAUUUUUAUGAUUACCAAUCUGAAUGUGUCCAAUAUGAAUCAAAACCAUGUUGGGAGUUGGCAAUAGAAAAAGUAGCUAAUGAUUCUGACGGGUAUUUUACAUACGUGCAAGCUAAAAAAUACCGAAUUACACCCGUUCACUGCAAGUAUACAGAUCAACUAGUAGUUUAGGGUAUAUAUCGGGUCGAUCCCACAAGGAAGAGUGAACAAUUACCGGUAUUACUAAAGCUUCUCUAUUAUUUAGACUAUCAAUAAAUUAUAACAAGUAAAAUCUACUGAACUUAUGCAAGAAAAUAACAAAUAAAAGCUCCUUAGGUUGUGGUAUCCCUAACUACUCAUGCAAGUGCUACAUUUGGAUCAUUGAAUACUACAUUUAGGCUAGUUAUGGUGUAAUUUCCUUAAACAUGUGAAACCUACUUUCGUAGUGAAUCAACUAUACUCAUAACUAAUCCAUACCUAUUUUCAUGGUUAUGAAAUUAGCUACAAGUUCAUUUCUUCAAUGAAAUUACAUGAAAUGAAUCACUAAAAACCACAUAAGUGCACCUCUACUUUCGUGAGUGUACUCCCUAUGUUUAGCACCUCUUGAACUAGUGUUAAAUCUCAAUUUUCAUUGCAGAAACAACACCUUAGAUAAUCACAAUCAAUGGUACCAGAUUAAUCAUGAUUUAAAGAGCCAAAGUGCUAAAUAACUUGCUUAAAUCAUAGCAGUCAAAUAACCAAAGAAUAAACACUCACAAUCAUAGAAAGUUCAACCAAACCCAAGGUAUAAACUUUAAAGACACAUAUUAAACACAAAAUCCAGAACUUGUAUAUUAGCUAAACUUGGAAUCAAGUACAAAAGAUAAAGAGUUUGGAAGGAAUACAACCCUUGUCACAUGAGCUUUCUUCCUUGCCUUCUUCAUCCUCCAUCUUCAUCCUAAUCUAGAUAAUAAACAAGAAUGGAAAAGCUACACUACUCUAUACAAAGCUAAACUAACACUAGGAAGAUGAAAGAGCUACAUUUCUGCAGCUUCAAGCUUUCUCCCGUAGCUCACUCUCUAUUUUUCUGCUAUGAACUCCAAUCUCUCCUAUCUCUUCUUGGAUCCCUUCAAUCUUGCAAUCUUGGCUAUUUUAUGAUGAAAUAUGGUCAAGAAAUGAGGCCUCCACCUUCCUUUUACAGCUGGAGAUGUUUCUCACAUGUCUAGCAUCCCAUGUGAGUUGGUGGAGGUGAAAUUGAGUUUUCCGCGUAAAAAGCAGACCUCUCUGACCACAAUCCGGCCAGAAAUCCGGCCACAAAUCCGGCCAAAUUCCGGCCGGAUUGCUACAGUGACCAUUUGGUCACUUCUGGUUCAAUUUCCAGCUCUGCUCCGAUUUUGACUCAACUUCAACUGAACUUUUCUUGAUGAUAAAAGCUGAUUUAGCUCUUGACCAAAACAUAAAUCUUGUAGCCCUUUGAGUUAGCUUUCCAAUGCAUCAAGAAUCACCUCAUUUGGAUGUGUGUAGGUUGAGAAAUGACCGAAAUACCCUUACCUGCUCAAUGCCCUGUUCCAGUUUCGACCAGUAGAAAUUUGCUAUUGUAAUUCGCGCAUUUUGAUCCGGAAAACCUUCAAACUGGAUUUAGAUGUCUUCACCAAAGUUGUAGAUCUAUCUCUUAUCUUCAAAUUGGUUCAAGAAUCAUCUUAAUCCGAUCACUGUAGCUCAAGUUAUAGCCGAAAUACGAAAAUGUGUCAAAACUGUCAAAAUACACAAAAUCCAAGUAAAAAGUGAUAAAAACCUCAUUUAAUCACUUAAAAGCAUUUUUCACCAAUUAUAGCCAAAAUGAUUCAUAUUCUUCCAAUAAUAUAACCAAAGUGACUAAAAAUAAUAUAAAAUAUCAUACAAUUAUUACGUAAAUUAGUCACUUAUCAAACUCCCCCACACUUAAAUCAUUGCUUGUCCUCAAGCAAUCCACACAUAAUCAAAUGCAAUGAUUCAAGAGGUGAAACAAUAUAUGCACUUUGUCCAAUUUAAUUCCUCAAGACUUGGAAAAUAAUCAUUAUACAAUUAUUCAAUUUACACUAAAUACUCAUAAUAUCAAGUAAAGGAAAGAUAAUUAUACCCUAAAUUCAACAAGUUAAACUUAAUCUCUUACCCUAACUUAAUUUUACAAAUAAGUAAAUCACAUAGUCAAUUUAUAGCCUUCCUCCUCCUUAUAAUCAUCUUUUUCUCAAAAUUCUAUAACUAAGAGGGAUUUAUUCACACAAAUUUUACUUAAAUAGUGAGAAUGCCUUUUUACGCGAAAAUCGACACUUUUAGGUGAAGAUCCCCGGUUACUCAACAUUUCACUUAUUCAAGUUGCUAAUGCAUACUCUUAAUUCAAGUACCUUUUUACGCGAAUGUCAACAUUUGUAGAUGCCAACCCCCGGUUACUCGGUAGGUGAAUCAUUGGAGUAGAACAAUUUUUAUUUACUUUCUUUUCUUUUCUUUUUUUUUCUUUUUUUUUUCUUUAUUUUUCCCUCAUAGAAAAAAAUAUAUAUAGAAAUAAUCAAAGGAGGAGUAUAACCUUUUAUCAACUAUAUCAAUCACUUAUUUAUAAAAUUAAGUAAAGAGAAGAAAUUUCAUUAAACAUGUAAAAUUAUAGGCGUAAUUUUCCUCACUUUACCGAAUAUACUUUCUAAAAUGUAAAAAUCCUAAUUGCAUAAUAACCAUUUCCAAGUUAAAUGAGGACUAAACUUUUCAAAAUACAUAUAACAUUUCAACAAUUGGAAGAAUUAAACACUUAAGGUUGGAAUACUUUGGCCCUUUUUGAAAUAAAAAUGAAAAAAUUGAAGAACUUUUGGGCCAUAGCGAAAUAUUGGACAUGAUGUUAGAAAAAUUUUGACGGAGUUUCCCCAUAUAAAUGGAAGAAAACUCCCUGCCAACAAACCCAAUUUCAAUCAAAUUAUCCACAUGGCAAAUAAUUCAAACACAAUUCCAACAUUUCUAAGCAUUUAAAUUCACAAAAUAUCAUCACCUAGCAAGUAAAUGCAAGUUCAAUAUUUUCCUCCCCCACACUUAAACUUCACAUUGUCCUCAAUGUGAGAAAAAGAAAAUAAAUAGAGUAAAAGAAAAUACUGCUCAAUUGAACUUGCGCAAUCCGAAUCCAUGUCCAAGUGAUGAAUUUCCAACCGUAUUUGAAAAGAAUGGAGAGUUCACUUAUUGCACCCUGAAAAAGACAAAAUCAAAACAAAUAAAUUUCUUAAAAAUAAAAGGUUGCAAUCAACAAAAUCAUGCAAUUCAAGGAAAAAGGAAAAAUGAUCAAGCAUGUGGAACCAUACAAUGUUCAAGGGAUAAAAACAUGAAAUGAGCUAAUCUUUGCUAAUCAAAUAUAUGCAUUAGUAUCCAAAGCAAAGGGAAGCUAAUUUCACACCAAAAAAUCCACAAUCAUGAACAAAAUAAGUUCCAUAUAUACAUUUUGUCAUCAAUGAUCAAAUCCCCGCAAGUACAAAAGUAAUCUCAAAAUGGAGACAAACACACCAAACCAAAAUAUAGAUGACCUUCUUGAGAAUUCAUGAAAUACUAAAAACCAUUGAACCACAAGAUUAUAAGUGCAUUUAUGAAUUUCAUCAAUUAAGGUCAUCUUCAAUUCACCUCUUCUUUUAGAAUUACCUAAGAAUUUACGAAAUUAUUCAACCAAGCACCUUUUCAUUCAUUAGGUAAUCUAAAUUACUCACAUGAAUAUCAUAAACUCCCACAAAACUAAUUAAAAUGCUACAUUGGCCACUUAAUAUGCAACUUGAUCACUAAGCCAAAUUAAGCAUAAAAUUAGCAAAAUUUCACCAAAUAAUGACAAACUCAUGAGUUAAACAUCACCAAUAAUCAUCAAUAAGCUCAAUAAGCACAAUGUAAAGCACCAAACUUCACAAAAUGAAAAAAAUUCGAAAUUGCCCAAAAAUAGAAAAAAAAUAAAAAUUGGCAAAAUUCAAAUAACAACAUUUGGUGAAGAUUUGUUACCUCAAACUUGUUGGUUGAUGAUUAUGGAUGCCAAUGGUGAUGAAACCCCCAAAAUUUCACUCCAAUUCGGCCUCAAAUGAAGAGUUCAAAAAUUUGAAACCCUUGUUCUUGCUAAGCUAAAAUCCGAAUUUAGACUUGUUUUGAAGAAUUUUUAGCUAUGAAAUCAUCUCUCAAGUAAAAGGGGAGUGUUUUGGUAUAGUUGGUUUGAAGAUUGGAUGGUGAAAAGAGUGAGUUUAGUGAGUAGUGUGUGUUUGAGGUGUUAGUGUGUGAGUUGGGUUGAAGAAGAAGGAAGAAAAAUUGUGAGGAAUCCGUGAAAUGGAUUCAUCUUACGCUGGUUACUGUUCACAAUCCGGCCAGAAAUUGGAGGGAUUCGUGGAGGAUUCUGGGCAAAAAAAAAAAAAAAAAUUUUUGUUUUUUUUUUUUUUUUUUUACUGUUGCAUAUCCGGCCAGUUUUUGGCCGGAUUUCCGGCCGGAUUAUUGGCCGGAUUUGCUACAGUGGAUUUUUUUUUUUUUUUUUUUUUUUUUUUACAAUCCGGCCAUUUCAGGCCGGAUUUUCGGCCGGAUUCUGUCCAGAAUGCUCGAAAAAAUUUUCUUUUCUCC
rnacentral:lncRNA from 1 species